rnacentral:lncRNA from 1 species
AUCACCUUAAUAUCUUUUAGAAUUAAGCAUACAAAUUACAUGAAGAUAGAAAAGGAAAAUGAAGAUAUAGACUUGUAACAUUAGGAAAAGAACGAAGCAUGCAAUAAUCCUAAUGUUACAUAUUAAAGAGGAAGAAACACACUUUGGCAAUGAAAACCUUAUUUUAGCAACAUAUUAUGAUGUUUUUAACAUCUGAUCAUACUGAUGAAGAAGGUAAUAAGGUUAUUUACGUUCAUCUCCAGCCACCUAUUUAUACUGUUAUGAAAUCGGAUCCUCAGCUUUUUUUUAUCCUGAUAUUUUUUUAUUUUGAAAAGGAUAAAAUAAUGGAAAAUAAUAAUAUUUUAGUUAUGUUUACAUUACUUCUUUAUUUAAAAGUGUAAUAAUAUAAAUUAUUAUAUUAUUAAAAAAAGGGUCAAAUGAAUAUAUUUUUAAGAAGAGUUUCCAAAAACUUUUUCCUCUUGAGUUGAUUAAUAAUUUUUUUAGGGUUAAAUAUGUUUUUGGUUCCGUAACUUUUAGUAAAAAUUGGAAUUAGUCCCUCUUCAAAAUUUUAGCCUAACUUAGUACUCCAACUUUAGAAAUAUAUAAAUUUAGUUCUUUUAACUGAACUUUUUUAGAUUUAUUCGAUAUUUUAAGCACGUUUCAUGAUAGCAUUUGGGUUGUUUAUACUAUUUGACACAUUUUUCCUUCAGUGUCAACUGAGAAACGCGUUUAAAGCAUCAAAUAAAAUUAACAAAAUUUGGUUAAAAGGAUUAAAUUCAUACAUUUAUAAAGUUGGAAGACUAAUUAAAUCAAAGUUUUGAAGAGAAACUAAUUCCAAUUUUCACUUAAAGUUAAGAGACAAAAGCAUAUUUAACUUUUUUUUAUAACAUCAAAUUACACAAAAUACAUAUUUUUAUAUUUUUCUUUAUUAAAAUAGUCAGAUCAACUUUAAGGUAUCAAAAUUUUAUUUUUGUAUGGACGUAUGUACAUAAAGCACGUGACGAAAUGUGAUAUUGAUAAGAUCAGACGUGCAAAAAACAAAUUUAAUAAUUGUCCUCUCUCCUGCCACCGAUAUUGAAAGCUGCCACACCGUAUUUCUUCUUAAAUACAUACGCCCAAAGUGUUAAUUUACAUAUGUAAUUGCGGAAUUAUGUAUGAAAAAUAAGGUGAAUUGAAAAUAAAUUUGUAUGUUUCAUUGUAUAUGAAUUUAUGAAUGUAAAACUAAGUAAAAACUAACCAUCAAGGUAAUAAUAUUUUGUAUAUUUUUCAAGAAAUUAAAUAAAUAAUGAUGUUAAUCUUCUCAUGGAAAAUGACCGAGCUAUAUAAAUCUUGCUGUAUUUUCUCACGUGUUUGGGACCAGCAUUCAAUUUUUGUCCGGUUGUUUCCUUUGUGAUAAGAUUGUAAUGAAAUUGAACUACGAAUUCUAAGACGUGAUAGCAUUUGUUUGUGCUCCAAUUUCUUAGCUUUUUAAGUUAAGUAUCGCUCAUCCCUUAAUCCUUAACCCCUCCUAGUCUCAAUAAUUAUAACAUGCACAUAAGUUAUAUAUACAUAUUAUAAUAACGUGAAUGGAGUUAUUUAUAAUUUUACUUACAAUCUAGAUUGUACUGGGGAUAUUCCGGACGAAUAAUAUGGCCGGUCUUCGGGAACAAGGAUUGAUGUAUGAAAUAAUUGAGUAAAUGUAACGGUCAGUCAUCUUAGAGAAGAGUAACUGGACGGCCAGAAACAGACGGUAGGGAAGAUCAAGGUAAGACCAGUUUAGUUAAGGUAAUUGUAUGAUUAAGACUAUUGGGCCAAGAUUGGGGCCUGAUUGGGACCACCUUAAUAUUAAGCCCAUAUCCAAAACUAUAAAUACAAGCCACAUGUACCAGGUAAGUGGGUUCAUUUAUUGCGUAUUUAAUUCUGAGCUCUGAUAACCGAUCGAACAUUUGAACUGACUUAAGCAUCAGAGUACCUUUAGCAGGUACCCUCCCGGGGCAUACGUCGGACGAGGAGGACGGACGAUCAGAGGACCAUAGGAGAGACAGACAGUAGAAAGAGAGGAAAUUGUGAAGGGUUUGUCUGACUCGACCACACACUGGAACAUAGAUAGUUUUUUUUUUAUCUUUUAAUAUCUCCACAACAAUCUAAAAUUAUUAGUCUUGUUUAUCAUGAAUUUUAGAGUAAAGAAAAAUGUCAUGUAUAAAAUUUUUUCAUGUUGGUAGGAUAAUCGCUUGAAGAGUUCUUGUCUCUGUUGUAUGUCCUCCUUGUUACUUGCUCUAAAUGAUCGAUCGGUAUAGGAGAUGACAUGCAGAAUACACAGUCAGAAUUUUUCUCUUUAUCUUUAUAGGCCUUUUGUAAUUUAAUAGUGAGUAAAAAUGAGUUUACCUCGACAUUAGCUCCUAUUUAUAGAAUUUAUAAGAAUCUAAAUUAAUUUAUCUCUUAACCGCUUAACAGUAGCUGUUGUGACAUUAAUUGUGCCAUAACUCCGUUCAAUGGUUGUCGGGACCGAACGGUCAUGAGGUGCUUUCUUGCAACCAACUGUUCAAUCUUCUCCUUCCAGCUUGAGACCGAGCGGUCAUGGGACGCUUUCUCGUUUCCUCAACCGCUCGGUCUUUUCCUUUCAGCUUGUCAUUGUUCUCGAUCACUCGAAUGUGAGCCCAUAGUAACAUAGGCCCGCCAAGCCCUAACAUAAUCUUAGUUAUGCAUAGGUUGACAAGGUUGUUAAUUACUUACUCGUGCGGUUCAUUGGCCCAAAGUAUUUUUGAUGUGCCUUAAGUUCCUGAUCUUUUAUACACCGAGCAUUUUUUACUCUAGGAGUUCACUCGGAACGUUCCUAGGUCAAAAUUCUAAGGUGAGAGCUACAAAAGCGUUCCUCACCGAACAUUUGUGAGAGCUACGAAAGCGUUCCUCACAAACCGAACGUUUGUGAGAGUUACAAAAACGUUCCUCAUAAACUGAGCAUUUUUUACUCUAAGAGUUCACUUGGAAUGUUCCCUAGGUCAAAAUGCUAAGGUGAAAGCUACAAAAGCGUUCCUCACCGAACUGUUGUGAGAGCUUCGAAAACGUUCCUCACAAACCGAACGUUUGUGAGAGCUACAAAAUUGCUCCUCACAUAUCGAGCGUAUUUAACUCUAAGAGUUCACUUGGAAUGUUCCCUAGGUCAAAAUGCUAAGGUGAGAGAUACAAAAGUGUUCUUCACCAAACAAUUGAGAGUUUCGAAAGCGUUCCUCACAAACCGAACGUUUGUGAGAGCUACGAAAGUGUUCCUCACAAACUGAGCAUUUUUUACUCUAGGACUUCACUUGGAACGUUCCUUAGAUCAAAAUGCUAAGGUGGGAGUUACAAAAGCGUUCCUCACCGAACGAUUAUGAGAGCUUCGAAAGCGUUCCUCACAAACCGAAUGUUUUUUACUCUAGGAGUUCACUUGGAAUGUUCUCUAAGUCAAAAUGCUAAGGUGAGAGCUACAAAAGCGUUCCUCACUGAACGGUUGUGAGAGCUUCAAAAGCGUUCCUUACAAACGAAACAUUUGUGAGAGCUACGAAAACAUUCCUCACAAGCUGAGCGUUUUUUACUCUAGGAGUUCACUUGGAACGUUCCCUAGGUGAAAAUACUAAGGUGAGAGCUACAAAAGCGUUCCUCACUGGACGGUGGAUACUAGGAGUUCAUUGAAAACGUUCCCUAGGUCCUAAAUGCUAAGGUGAGAGCUACGAAAGCAUUCCUCACCGAGCGGUUCACACUAGGAGUUUACUUGGAAUGUUCCAUAUGUCAAAGGUGCUCAAGUGAGAGCCACGAAAGCAUUCCUCACUAAGAGGUGGACACUAGGAGUUCACUUGGAACUUUCCCUAGGACCAAUCUUUUCAUAUAACUUCCUAAGACUUUUGAUAAAAAUCAUUUGAUAUUAUUAAUAGUAGAAUUGCAAAUACAUAAUAAUUUUUUAGAUGAAAUAUGAAGUGGAAUACCAUUCUCUGUUCUUGCCACGAUUAUGUAGUUUGUUUGGCACAAAUGCUCGCUUGCCCACCUUCAGUUCCUGGCCUGCCGAGGAUGAAGCAUUCUCUUCAUACUGCCUUUUUUGGACAACCCAUAUCUCCCUGAUUCAAAUGAACUCAACGACCUUCUCCUGCAUUUCUCCCAGGGUUAAAAGGUGGUCGAGCAAAUAAGCUAUUUGUAGAGGAGCACGACCUUAAGGCUGUUGACAAGGUGCUGAUAAUGAACUUUUUGUCAACACCUGCCUGCGAUCCGGUUGUACCGAUCCAUGAAGUCCCUCAAGCUUUCAUCUUUCCCUUAUCUGACUUUAGCCAGUUCCAUAAAGGUAAGGUUUUGCGUCUUACUAGAAGUGAACUUUCGCUCAAACAAAUGUCUCAAAGUCCCAAAACUAUCAACGGGUAUAGGACGAAGAGAGUGAAACCAUGCCAAAGUUUCUCCUUUAACCGACAAGGAAAAAACCCAGCACCAAACCCUCUCAUGAGGUGAGUAUAUCGCCAUUGCAUCCGCAAAAGACCUCAGAUGCUCCUCUGGAUCACCUGAUCCAUCAAAGUUCUAUAUAUUGGGAGGCAUCUCAUUAGGCAUUUACUCCUCCAUAAUUGCAGUUGUAAUUGAGUGAAGCGCCCCGGCCCGAGCGGAAUUAACCGGGCGGGCGAGGCAACUCCUGGAACUGUUCCCCUGAUCCGUGCCUUCUUGAUCAAAAUCUGGAAAUUCCACAAUGGGCGGCGUUUGAGCGCGUGUCGCCGACUGCUGAUUUGACUGGGCCUUCCACCCUACAUCACGCUCCGCCCUUAAAGUUUCAAUCUCAACCUGCAUGGCUUCCAUCCUCCUCUGCAUUUCCUGUAUCGCAACCCACGGGUCUUGUUGUCCUGCCAUUCUUAUGGUUUCGCUAUGGUGUCUUCAAAUAUCCUCGGCUCCAUGAUGGUCAAAAUUUUUCUUUGUAGGCAUUUUGUAAUUUGAUAAUGAGUAAAAAUGAGUUUACCUUGACAUUAGCCCCUAUUCAUAGAGUUUAUAAGAAUCUGACAAAUUAAUUUACAUCUUAAUGAUCAUUAAUGCAAACAUUAACAAUAACUGUUGUGACAUUAAUUGUUUCUUAACUCUGUUCAACGGUUGUCGGGACUGAGCGGUCAUGAGGUGCUUUCUUGCACGCCAACCGUUCGGUCCUCUCCUUCUAGCUUGAGACUGAACGGUCUUUUAUGGCGCUUUCCUGUUCGGUCUUUUCCUUUCAACUUAUUGUUCCCGAUCGGUCGAAUGUGGGUCCACAGUAACAAAAGUAAUUAUAAAAUAAUCUGAAAAUUAGAUGAGAAAUUUAUUUAUUAAUUUUCUUCCAUUAAUAAAUUUGUAGUAAAUAUUGUAAUUUGUUUAUUUUCAUCAUUUCCCAUUAUCGUAUAUUCUCAGGUUUAUCAUCACCCCAUCAUAUUUAUUAUUGUCAUUAUUGCUAUGUGACUUUCCUUUAACUCUUAGUCUUCAUUUUCUUUUCUAUUGAUGUUGUCGUUACUGUUAUUUCCAUUAUCGUCAUUACCUUCUUUUCCUUUUCUCUUAAUUCUUCUCUUCUUUUUAUUUUCACAUACUUUUAUACAGUUUUUAACAAAUAUUUUUUGAAAAAAAAAAUUAAUGCCUAUUUUACUUAUUGACGAAUUUUCAAAAACUCAACUAUUAAAAUAUUUUCAAAAAAAAUUCAAUCAAUUGAUAUAUUUACUGAGAAUUAUUAUUUUUUUUUAUAAAAAUCUAUUAUUAACGAACUUAUCACAACAUCUUCAGAGCCUAAAAUAAGAAGUUUUAAUGAUCAUUUUGUCAACAUAGUUUAUCGACAAUAACAUAUUUCAUUAGUAAAUUUUUUAAAUUAUUAACAAAUUUUACUGAUUAAUAAAUAUUUUUAUUGAUGAUUAAAAUUCAUUUGUUAAUAAAUUCUAUUUUAUUAAUAAAUUUUUUUAUUGAUAAACAUUUGAAUGAUAGAUAAUUGAAAUAUAUAUAUAUAUAUAUAUAUAUAUAUAUAUAUAUAUAUAUAUAUAUAUAUUAUUCAACCUUUUUACUUUUACCUACCUACAUAUAAUAUAAUAAUAUGAUAUAAAUACAUAUAAUAUAAUACAUAGAGAGAGCAUGUUUAACCAUUUCUCUUUUCAAACAAAUUAUUACUUAUCCAUCAGAAAUAUCAUACCAACCCAAAAUAAUAUAUAUAAGAAUAUUCUUAGAAAUGUGUAUUUGGUAAUUUUGUUUGUAAAUCUUUGAGCUAUAUUUGUUUGUUUGAUAGUUCAUUUUGUAGUAUCUUUUAAAUUUAUAUUUUUUAUUAACACCUAUAAAUAAAUACAUUUUCAUAUUUGACUUGUUUAAACAAGGUAAUUUACUUUUUUACUUCUUUCUCACUUUUUUCCUUUAACACUUUCACUUCUCACCUUUUCUCAUAAUAGAAAAGGAAUUACAAAGUAAAAUCAGUACUUUCUUUUGGAUAAUAUUUAUCUAUCUUACUCUGCAUUCCAAUAGUGUACUAUUUAAUAUGAAUAAAAUUGGUUUAAAUAUGUUUUAUGUUUUAUCUUAAAAAAAGUUCUUCUUCCUCCUCCAAAAUAAAGUUGUAAAAAGUGAUUUCAUAAGUUUUAAUUACAGGAUCAAAAUAUUUUAACAAUAUUUUUUAACAAUUUUUGAUAAAAAAUGUGUUAUCAUUUUAUUAGUCUAUUUGAAUUUAUAUAUAAAAAAUUAUUUAAAAUAGAUUAAUCAUAACCUAUUAUAUACCUUAUCAAAAAACUAUAAAAAGAAAUUGUUAAAAGAAAAAUUUAGUUUGAAAGGGACGUGGCAAUAAAAGAAAGUGAACACGUUUUUCACAUAAAGAUUUAGUUUUACGUACUAUGAACUAGGUGGUCAUACUUCUUCCGUCGUUUGUAUAUCAAUGAAGGUGACAACACUUGAAAUCAUUAGCUGCCACGAAAAAAGAAAUUUCAUAAACGUAAGACUUUCAUUUUCCUUCUCUCUCACAAUGUUUUGCAACAACUUUAUUUCAGCAUGCUAGGCGACACGCCACAUGUCACACUUUUAAUAACUUAUAGAAUUAAGCAUACAAAUUACAUGAAGAUAUAGGAAAGAAACAACCACUUACAGAAGAGGAAAACCAAAAUCUAGACUUGUAACAUUAGGAAAAGAAAGAAGCAUCCAAUAAUCCUAAUGUUACAUAUUAAAGAGAAAGAAACACACUUUGGCAAUGAAAACUUUAUUUUUGCAACAUACUAUGAUGUUUUUUAACAUCUGAUCAUACUGAUGAAGAAGGUAAGGUGAUUCAUGAGAGUGAAUCCCUUCAAUCGGUGACUGGCAAAAUGCCUUUAAGGACUGGCCAACCUUCAACGAUAAGAGUCACAUCACCCAGAAGUGUGUCCUGACUUCCAUGUGGGUCGGCUUUCAUACGCACAUACUCGUCUCCUUUGAAAAGGUAGACUUCAUUCUCCAAAUGAGAAGCAAAACACGCAUCAAUUCCAUUUUCAAAGAUCGUACUUUUCAAAACAGGGAACCCUUCGCUGAUCUCAUAAAAGCGCUGAGUAAGUUUCUUGGUAUUAUAAUCAAUGCGAGCAUACUGAUUUCCCUUGAAUAUGUAAACUUCUUUGUCUCUGGUUGACCUAAAUGCACCAUCCACGCCCUCAGCAAACACCGUGUUUUUUAGGUCGGGAAACAUUUCAGCGAUUGUGGUAGGACCUACGAGGAUCCUGUCGUUUCCUGUGUUUGGAGCAUAGUCUAUGUAGGCACAGGUCUUGUUCGAGAAGAUAUAUGCUUCACUGCCUUCAGUGUUAAAGGCACAGUCUAUUCCUUGUUCUGCAAAUGGCGUUCCUGCAAGUGAUGGAAAACCAGCACUAACCAAUUCAAGAGGAGUCAGAAGUUCCUCACCUGUUGUUCCGGGAGUGUAAUACAGCCUCACGUACUUGUUUUUCAUGAAGAAAUAGACUUGGAAUGGCAUUGAUGAAGGGAAUGCGGCAUUGAUAUAGACAGUGCCUGACAUUUUUCUUAACACAAGAAGAAGAAGGAGUAAGAGAAAAAGAUAGAUAGAUAGAUUGAGUUUGCUUAUUUUCCUUCAUCUCCAGCUACCUAUUUAUACUGUUAUGAAAUUGGAUCCUCAGCCUUUUUCUUUUCUUUACAUUUUGUUCACUCUAUACACACAUGUGGAAUUCAAAAAGAUCCUCAUAUUUUUUUACUUUUCAAAAGGAUAAAAUAAUAAUAUUUUAGUUAUGUUUACAUUACUUUUUUAUUUAAAAGGUAAUAUAAAUUGUUAUAUUUAUUAAAAAAAGGGUCAGAUGAAUAUAUUUUUAAGAAGGGUGUCCAAAAACUUUUUCCUCUUAGAGUUGUUUAAUAAAUUUUUUAUAACAUUUAAUUACACAAAAUAUAUAUUUUUAUAUUUUCUUUAUUAAAAGAGUCGGAUCAACUUUAAGGUAUCAGAAUUAUUAUUUUUGUACGGACGUAUCUGUACAUAAAGCACGUGACGAAAUGUGAUAUUGAUAAGAUCAGACAUGCAAAAACAAAUUUAAUAAUUGUCCUCUCUCUUGCCACUUAUAUUGCAUUUUCCUAAAUAAAUAUACCCAAAGUGUUAAUUUACAUAUAUAAUUGCAUAAUUCUAUAUGAAAAUACGGUUAAUUGGAAAUAAAUUUGUAUGUUUCAUUGUAUAUGAAUUUAUGAAUGUAAAACUAAGAAAAAUCUAACCAUCAACGUAAUAUAUUUUUCAAGAAAUUAAAUAAGUAAUGAUGUUAAUCUUUCACAAAGAUAACUUCAUGUGUGCAGGUUUGAUAGAAAAAUUCAUGAUGCAUCCAUAAUACAAAGAAAGAGAACAAGAAGGAGGAAAAGAGUAUAUAUAUUUCAUAUAUAUAUAUAUAUAUAUAUAUAUAUAUAUAUAUAUAUAUAUAUAUAUAUAUAUAUAUAUAUAUAUAUAUAUAUAUAUAUAUAUAUAUAUGAAAUAUAUAUAAGAUAAGAGAGGGAAAGAAUAGAAAAAUUGAAAGCAAUAAAUGAGGAGUGGUGAAGUGGUGCGGUGUAGUGGAUUUGGUUGGAAUAUUAUUUCUGACAAUCUUCUCAUCGAAAUGAAUCUUGUUGUAUUUUCUCACGUGUUUGGGAUGUUGGGAGAGGUGAAUACCUGCAAAGUUAUGAGCAACUUCGAAAUCCAAAAAAUAAGACAAGUUACCCAUUUUUUUUUUUAUUUUGAAUUGAGCAUUGAGUAUAUUGGUGAUGUGAUCAAUUUCAUGCAUAUUGUUACUGGUAAGGAUGAUAUCAUCAAUAUAAAUGAGUAAGAUAGUGAUUGUAGCACCAUUACGUUUGAUAAAAAGAGAAUGAUCACCAGAAGUUUGAGUAAACAUGUUAGAGAGAAGGAAAGAAGACAAAUUGUCAUACCAUUGGCGGCUGGCUUGUUUCAAGCCAUAGGGAGAUUUAUGUAAAAAACAUACUUUGUUGUGGUUGGAAUGAUGGAAUCCCGAAGAAGGUUGUUUUCCUAUGUACCUAGUGGAUCUCCUCGGAGAGGUAAUGCUGGUGUCAGUAUGAGUGGCAGUAACAGUAGAGGGAAUAAGUGCAGGAUGAUGGGUUUGAUGUAGGUAAUGAAAGGUAUCAUGAUGAUGGAGAGGCAAGGAUAAAGUGGAGUUUGGAGGGAAGGAGGAGGGGUAUUGGGAAAUUCAUUUUCACAAAAGGUAACAUUGCGAGAAAUCUGUAUGUCAUAGGUGUCAAGUCUAUAGAUGAUGUAUCCUUUUGUAGUAGGAUGUAAACCAAGGAAGAUGCUUGGGGUAGCCCUUCGGUCAAGUUUUUUUUCUAUGAGCUUGGAGGGUGUGCUAGUAUAACAAAUGCAUCUGAACACCCUAAGUCUAGAAAUAUCAAAAUCUUUAUGAAAGAGUUUGUCAUAUGGGGAGUUAUUAUUAAGAAGAGGAGUGUGCAUAAUGUUGAUAAGAAGAGUUGCAUAGUUAAGGGCAUAUGUCCAAAAUUGAUUAGAAUGUUUUGAGUGAAAAAGCUAGGCCCCAGUAACAUUUAAAAGGUGUUGAUGUUUUCUUUCAACAAUACCAUUUGUUGGGGUGUUUCAUUACAUGAAUUUUUGGUGAAUAAUCCCUUGAGAGUUAAAGUAAUCAUGCAUGGCAAACUCUGGCCCAUUAUUAGACCUGAUGACUUUAAUAGUUGUUCGGAAUUGAUUCUUGACAUGUUAUAUGAAAAGCAAAAGAUGAUUGCGAGCUUCAGGUUUAGCAUGCAUCAAAUGAACCCAAGUAUAUCUAGUAUGGUCAUCAACAAUAGUGAGAAAGUAUUUAUGAGAAUGUAGGGAUGCAGUGGGACAAGGUCCCCAAAUGUCAACAUGUAUGAUAUCAAAGGCAUGAGAAGCAACAUAAUUGUUUGAAGUAAAAGGCAAUUUCUUUUGCUUAGCCGUGUGGUAGGCAUUACAAUUGUUUGUCUGAGAAUUUAUGCAAGGAUAUUUUUGUGCAAGAAUACCUAAACAUUUAUCAGAUAAGUGGCCUAAGCUGUUGUGCCAAAUAUUAUUUCUAUCAGCAGUGUGUGUGUUGUGUGCAUUGGUAGGAUGUACAGAGACAACAACAUUGAGGUUAGGUCCAUGAAAAACAUAUAGGCCAGCGCGAGAGUCAACUGAACCAAUCUUGUGAUGUGUCAUUGAGUCUUGGAUAAAACAUGUGGAAUUAGUAAAAAUUACACGAACACCAUUAUGCAGAACCAAUUUGGAUAUAGAGAUCAAAUUAUAACAAAAAUCUGGAAUGUAAAGAACAUCUUUAAGACAAACUUUAUCACAGAGUUGGAUAGUUCCUUUAUGUGUAGCUUGUGUAGUGAUACCAUUAGGAAGAUUAAUUUUCACAGGUGUAAUUUGAUCAUAAGAAUGAAGAUGUUUAAGAGAGGAAACAACAUGGUCAGUGGCACCAGAGUCCAAUAUCCAUGUUGUGGUACCUGAGUCACCAACAAUAUUAAAAUGCAGAAGCGUUUUACUUGUAUUUGAGGAACUAGAAAUUAAGGAGCCAAUUUGAGGAUUGGAAACGAUAACAGCAUCAGUGUUAGGGUUUAGGAGAGCCAUAAGAGUCUGGUAUUGUUGUUUUGUGAGUCGCAUUUCAUGGUCAAUUGUUUCUCCUUGAUUGACAUUGGCAAGUUCUUGAUUUCUUGAAAGCAGACUUUUACCAUUGUAGAACUUGUGUGGGGACCCAUGCUUCUUAUAACACGCAUCAACAGUAUGAAUGGUUUUGCCACAGUGGGAACAAGAUUUUUUGUUGGGUGAAGGUUUUGCAGGAAGACCGUGCUUCUUGAAACAAACAUUAUCAGUGUGGCCAGUCUUACCACAAAAAGAACAGGUGACAGUGCUUAUAGUGGCAGUAAUAUUGUUAGAUUCCAAAUGAUUCAGAAAAGUAUUAUGCACUAAUUUCUUUCUUGUUGCAUGACAUAGGAGAAAAUUUUGGAAACAAAAGGUAUGGGAUCCAUUAGGAGGACAUGAGAUUGAAUGUUACCAUACUGUUCGUUCAAGCCUCUUAUAAAUUGCAAGGCUCGGUCCUAAUGUUUUCUUUGUGAAAUGAUGGAGAGCAUUUUGCAAGAGCAUUUGAUAUCACAGGUUCAGAUCGAGUUAGUUAUAAAAUUAUCCAAUUCGUCCCAUAUAAUGUGUAAUUUUGUGUAGAAUUCAGUGAUAAUUUGGCUGCCUUGUCUGAGAGAAGAAGCUUCUUUCUGUAGUUUUGAGAUGCGCAACAUCCCCUUGAAAAAACCUAGAUUUGAGAUCAUUCCAAAUGGCUUGGGCAUCAUCCAUCCAAAGAAUGUUGUGCCUGAUCUCUGGAGAAACGGAGUGGACCAACCAAGAGACCACCAUGUUGUUGCAUCUCUUCCAUGCAUUGUGCGAUGGGUUUUCUCUAGACGGUUCUUUAGCAGUUCCAUCAAUGAAUUGUGCUUUAUUCUUGGCACUUAACGUAGUGGUCACAAAUUUGCUCCAUGCAUGGUAAUUAUUGGAACCAAGAAGAGGAGAAACCAGAAAUGUGGCUGGGCUUUCGCUGGGAUGAAGGUAUAAAAAGCUUGAAGGAUGAUUGUUCUCGUCAUUCAUGGCGAAAUAAUUGAAAAAGAAAGUAAAAGAUCUUCAAGAACCUCACAAGACAAAAGGCAGAGAAGAUGACAGAGUAUAAGGCGCAACAGAGCUCUUCAAAUGAAGAGCUCCGAUACCAUCACAAAGAUAACUUCACAAUGACUGAUGGAAUCUGUGCAGGCUUCAUAGAAGAAUUCAUGAUGCAUCCAGAAAAGAAAGAAAGAGAACAACAAGAAGGAGACACUAGUGAAAAAACACUGUUUAACAUCACCCCUUAGACGUCAGUUUCGUGAAAAUCCGACAUCUAUUACUGCACGGUGGCAUUAUCGUAAAUAAAUUGGAAAACUAGACGUCAGUUUCGAUAUCAGGCAACGUCUAUGACAUCAUAGACGUCGCACCUGCCGCAAACUGACGUUCAAUUGCCUGAGGUAUGUGAUAAGACAGUCCAUUAACGUCAGUGUUUCAGGGGACCGAUGUCUACUAGGUUGCAAUUAAUGCUGCUGAUAACUCUCCAAAUUUACAUAUUUUUCUGUGUUUAAAGAGUCUUACUUAGCUUUUAUUUGUUCUUAAUUGUUUAGAAUUAGGCUAGUUUUAGAAUUUUUGUUUAAAAUUGUAGUUUUAUAAAAUUGUAGUUAAAAAUAGAUUUUUAGUAUAUUUUUUUAGUACAUUUGUAAAUAAUUAGAAAAUUAGUAUUUUUUUUUGAAAUUCUUUCAAUAAAAAUGUUUUGUUUUAAUUAGGUUUUAAUCACAUAAUUUUUCUUAAUUGCAUUUUAACCCUUUAAUUCAAUUUUUUUUAGAUUUGGAUCUAAUUGGGCUUGGAAAACGCUGCUACCACUGCAAUGCUUGGAGGAUUUAAAUUGAUUUGGGCCGUCGCUGGAAGCUGCACUACAAGUGAAAAUUGGGCUGCACAUUUAAUUGAGUUGUUGCAAGGGAACUGACGUUGCUGCCACCAUUAGGAUUAAUUGAAAAAGGAAUUGGGCUGGUGUUUGCACAUUAUUGGGCCGCUAGCAUGAGUUGUGCUGCGUUUAAUGAAGUGUGCGUUUUGGUGGCUGAAGAGUUGUGCAGGGUCUUGGUUAACACUUUUCAUUUGGAAAAAGGAAAGCACACUCGAGCUAAGGCAGAAGCUCACUUGAGAGAAACACCCUUUCGAGAGAAGCAAGAGCUGAAGGCACGUGAUCUAAGGAGCUGCCCAAAGAGGAUGACCAGAGCUGACCGGUGAUGCCAUGUGGAGAAUCAAAUGGUCGGGAGGCAAAGGAAAUGUUGGUCGUCAGAUUAAGAAAGCUUAUCAUGCAAGUUUCUUUCUCCCUUUUUCAUCUUUUCAUUUUUCUUUUCAACCCUAUAAAAGGGGCUUCUUUCAUGUAAAUAAAGACAGACACUUUCAGAUACAAUUUUACGCUCUGUAGAUUAGUUUUUUUUACGCUUUCUAUAGAGUAGGUUUUCGUUCUCUAAGCUUUUGGAGCGAAUCAUCGUGAUGGUGACAGCCCGUGGUGGCUUCGAUUGCACUCUUCGUUCGGUACCAUUUUUUUGUAAUUUUUGUUUCUCCUUAAUAAAAUGUUCUUUUUCUUUUGUGUUCUUUGUUUCUGUGUUGAGCAUUGUGAUUCUGUUGUGUUCUUAUUUGAUUGUGUGUUCUUGUGUUCUUAAUUGAUUGUGUUCUUGUGAUGUUUUGAGAAAAAUUGAUUUGAACUCGCAUUUGCAUAUUUUAAAUUCCUUUUUGGAAUUAUACGACCCCAAGGUGGGCGUAAAUGAACGGGAUGUCUUCCCGAGACAGAAAGAAGUUUAAUCAGUAAAAAAAUAUUCUAGUUGUGUUAAUUUCUGUCUGUGAGUGUUAAUUAGAAUAGGUUUAGUCGUGUUUCAGUUUUAAAGUUGGAAAAAAAUCAUAAACUGGAAUUGAAUUUGUUUUGUUUUGGGAAAUCAUUUGAUUGUUAUUCAUUUUAAGUUCUAUAUUAGAACUUGAGACCCCGAGGUGGGCAAUUUAUGAACGGGAUGUCUUCCUGUAUAGUAGCAAUCCAAUUGAUAAGCCAUUUCAAGCAAAAUUUAGUUCAGUUUUGUGACUUUUAUCCAACAACUUUGUUCUAUUUAGUAGUUUAGGACAUGUUCUGUUUGUAAUGGUUAGAGUUGGUUUUGAUUCAUGAGUUUCUCAUCUGAUUCUUUGCUUUCAUCAUUAGUCUAGUUAUUUCUUGUUGAUUUUUAUUUACUGUAGAUUUUACAAUUCUUUGUGCAACAAUUACCUUUCAUUUGUAGAUAUUCAUUUAGCUUUUAGGAUUUGUUUAGUUUUAAUUUCCAAGUCUAGUUGUUUGUUUACAGUUCUGAUUUUUGAUUAUUUUGAUUGCAUUUAAUUCUCAUAUUAGUUUAGGUUCUAUUUCUGUUUUAGGUAGUUUAGAAUACUGAUUUCUUAUAUUUCAUUUCAUUUCAUUUUAAUUUUCUUUUUAUCUUUUAAACAAAUUUUCUUUUUAGUUUCAUUUCUUUCCCCACCUUGUCUUGAGUUAGUUAAUAGUAAAUAAUAGAACAAAAAGCAAGAUUAACUCUACACUUUAAACUUAAUUUUACCAAGUCCUUGGAUUGAUACCUAGGUUGUCCCUAUACUUCAUUAGUGGGGAAACUUAGUUUGUUCUGAUUUUGUGCGACCAAUAUCAGUUUAACAACCGCCCAUCAAAUUCCCAGGAGCUUAGACGUCGGCUAGCAAGGACACCGACGUCUACGUCACUGACAGGAAAUCAAACGUCAAUCGGUUCAGCUUUAGACGUCGAAUAGACGUCAGAUCCCGUGAAAAAGCAACGUCGGUUGGGCUACAGUUAAUGUUGUUCACCUAAUGCCCCAGGCAAUUAGACGUCACGUAGUCAAACGCCGACGUCUAAGGCCUGUCUGGAAGGCGGGAAGACAAAAAUUCUUCAAUGUAGAUGUCAGUUCUGAGGGGCACCGACGUCUACGUUCCUGUAUUUUCACCAAAUUCGAGGGUUUUAGACGUCGGCUGUGACGGGCACCGACGUGAACUACCUUGAUAGGAAACCAAAACGUCAAUCUUUUCAGCUUCCUAGACGUCGGUUUCUGGAGCAACCGACGCCCCAUAUCAUUUUAAAUAGACCGCGGACUCUUCUCGCCAUUCAGUUUCUGAUCGCGUCUUCAUCUCUUCUCCUUUUUCUUUGCUUCUCCUCUUCUUUACUUCUCCUCUUCUUUUACUCGCUUGCGCACCUCUACUUUUUAUCUCUUGCGGCAUUGCAUUGUCGUUUCUCAUAACGUCAUUGUCUUCGUCCUCUCCUUUUUCUCUCUUGCAUCCCAGGUGCGUGGUUUUUUUUUAUGCUUACCGUUUAAACUUUCUUUAGUUUUUUAUCAAUUAUCUUGUCGUUCAACUGAUUAAAAUUUGCUUUCUUUGUGUUGUGUUUUAGUGCAGUUUUGAUCCUCUCUUUGGGUAACAUAGUGNAACAUUCUCCCUUUGCUGGUUUCCUCACAAGAAGAGUGGCGAUCUUUUGAGUUUUCUAGUUCUUCCGACCCAAAAUGGAACUUGGGUCCUUGUCUACUUCUCGACACCGUAAUUUUUUUCUGUUGCGGUUGAAUAAUGGGAAGUAGCCAUGGACCCAGGUUCGGUUUUGGGUUGAAAGCACUAGAAGAUUCAAAAGACGCAAGCAUUUUUUGUGGGGAAACUAGCGAGAGGAGAGUGUUACACAAUGCUACCGAAAGCCUGGAUCAAAACUGCACUAAAACACAAAAUUGUUGUUAGACGUCGGUUAAAGCCAUGUCCGACGUCUAUAACAACAUAGACGUCGGUUAGUGUCAUUUUAAACCUCUUUAUAUAUUCAUGUUGACGUCGGUUUAAUCAUAGGUGGACGUCUAUAUAGAGUAAUUAGACGUCGGUGUGAGUAUAAGAAUACGUCUAUAUAGACGUCGGUGGAUAUCUUUAACUGACGUUUAUAUGGAUGUCGGUUCUGAGGAAUUGCGACGUCCCAUAGACGUCACUCGUAUAGACGUCGAAUGUGAAAGUGACGUUAAAAGCUCAAAUUAACCGAUGUUAAACAGCAUUUUUGCACUAGUGAGAAGAAGAGAAAAUUGAUAUAUGUAAAAUAGAACAAAGAAGCUAACAUAUACAUAAGAUAUGAGAGAGGAAAGAAAAAAAGAAGAAGAAAGCAAUAAAUGAGGAGAGGUGAAGCGGUGCAGUGCAGUGGAUUUAGUUGGAAUAUUAUUUCUGACAAUCUUCUCAUCAAAAUGAAUCUUGCUGUAUUUUCUCACGUAUUUCGAACCAACGUUCACAUUUUGUCCGAUUGUUUCCUUUGUGAUAAGAUUGUAAAGAAAUCAAAUUACGAAUUCUAAAACGUGAUAACAUUUGUGUAUGUGGUCCAAUUUCUUAACUUUUGUAACGUUUCGUUUCAGUUUUGAAAAAAUUGAUAAAUAUCAAAAUGGUUUUGAUUCAGAGGGAACCGAUGUAUAAAAAAUAUAUUGUCUUGAUUCAAUGAGUAACUGAGACAUAAAAUUCUGCAUAACCUCAUCUGUUUUUGCAAAUCAGACUUUUUGAAAAGGUCUACUGUUUUGAUUAUCUGAUCAACUUUGAGACAAAUCUCUAAAAAGGACAUAUUAUCUCAAUACAGAUAUUGAUAAGAUUAUGAAUUAGGAAAAACAAAUUUAAUAAUUAUCCUUUUUCCUGUGUCACUAAUAUUGAAAGCUACCACACCGUAUUUCUUCUUAAAUACAUACGCCGAAAGUGUUAAUUUACAUAUAUAAUUGCAGAAUUCUGUAUGAAAAAUACGGUGAAUAGGAAAUAAAUUUGUAUGUUUCAUUGUAUAUGAAUUUAUGAAUGUGAAAACUAAGCAAAAACUAACCAUCAUUCAAUUUUUGUCUGGUAGUUUCCUUUGUGAUAAGAUUGUAAUGAAAUUGAAAUACGAAUUCUAAGACGUGAUAGCAUUUAUUCGUGUUCCAAUUUCUUAGCUUUUUAAGUUAAGUAUAAGCCAUCCCUUCAACCUUAACCCAUUGUAAUUAUAAUAGCAUGAAUGGAGCUAUUUAUUAUUGUAUUCUAACCUAGACAGUUUACCUUUACCUUUCAAAAUCUCCAAGAGAUUUAGAAAAACUGAAAAUGUCAUGUAUAAAAGUAAUUAUAAAAUGAUAUAAAAACUAGAUGAAAAAUCUCUUAUUUGUUAAUAAUUUUCCAUCAAUAAAAUUUGCACAUAAUUUUUUCUUUUUCAUUACCGUCAUAAUUAAUAGGUUGUCGUGUUUAUGACCAUCAUUAUCACGUUUAUCAUUGUCAUUGUCGUUACAUGAUUUAUCUUUAGCUUCUAUUUCUCAUCUUUCUCUUAUUGUUGUCACCUUUAUUGCAUUGUCUUGUCGUUUCCUUUUUUUUUUCUCUUUUCUUUUCUUUCUUUUUUUUCAUUCUCAUACAUUUUCAUUUAAUUUUUAAUUAAUAUUUUGUUAGAUUUGACAAAAAAAGUUAAUAUCUAUUUUAUAAUAUAACUAUCAAUGAAUUUUCAAAAACUCAAUUAUAAACAAAUUUUUAAAAAAAAUUCAAUCACCGACGACAUAUUUAGUAAUAAAUUCUAUAAGAAAAAUUGAUGAACUUUACCACAACAUGUUCAAAGUUUUAGAACGAGACUUUUGACGUCCAUUUUAUCAAUAUAAUUUAUUGAUAAAAACAUCCGUUAAUAAUAACAUUUUUUAAUUAUUGACAAAAUUUACUGAUCGAUAUUUUUGUUGAUAAUUAAAAUCCAUCAAUUAAAUUUGUCAAUAAAUUUUAUUUUAUUAAUUGAUUUUUCUGUUGAUAAAAUUUAAAAGAAUUUAGAAAAUAAAAUAUUAAAGUUGAUAAAAUAAUGAGACCCAUAGUUUAAAAUUAAAACAAUUUAAUAAUAGAAAUAGAAUUUCAUAAACUCAUUAUAAAAAAUACUCACUAUCUCUCUAAAAUGUUUUUUCUAAGUUAUUUUUUCUUUUCCUUUAUAAUUUUUAACUCUUGGAUUAUCUAUUUGAUGAUCAAAAGGUGCUUAUGGGUUGAGUUAUGGGUUGUUUUGGUCUAAAAAGAGAGUGUUGAUGAGUGAGAUUUUGAAUUAAAGGUUGAAUGAGUUUAAAUGGGUUUCUAAUUUUGUCCUAUGGCCACUUAUAACUUGUUUGUAAUUUAAAUAGGAGAAAUUUGCAUUAGAAUUGAGUUGUUGCAAUUAGAGUUUGUAUUUGUAUAGUUUCGUUCAAUUAAAGAGGUUUUAACUAGUGAAGUUUCAGUAAUAAGUAUGGGUUAGUCAACGAGGCUUGAGCGCUAGAAAUCCGAGAGGUCUAAUUCUAGCGCUCAACGCCAGUUUGCAUUUCUAGCGCUCAAGCACCAAAAUUGUGAGCAGAAUGGUGUUCAUAGGAAUGGGUACUUCAACGCCAGUUUGCAUGGUUUUCUAUUCAUUUAGCUUUUUUGGUUUCUUCUAAACAUGAAUGUGUAUCUUAUGAGACAUUAUCAUCGGUUUAAGGUUAAUGCAUGUUUCAAAGUGUGCUGUGGAUAUGAAUAUAGGAAAUUUAUGUAUCAAAAUUAUCAUUUUUGUAUGGACUUAUCUAUACAUAAAGCACGUGACGAGAUGUGAUAUUGAUGAGAUCAAACAGGCAAAAACAAAUUUAUAAAUAAUUGUCCUCUCUCUUGCCACUGAUAUUGAAAGCUACCACACCAUCCUAUACCCAAAGUUUUAAUUUACAUAUAUAACUGCAGAAUUCUGUAUGAAAAAUACUGUUAAUUGGAAAUAAAUUUGUAUGCUUCAUUGUAUAUGACUUUAUGAAUGUAAAACUAAGAAAAAACUGACCAUCAACAUAAUAAUAUUUUGUAUAUUUUCCCAGAAAUUAAAUAAAUAAUGAUGUUAAUCUUCUCAUGGAAAUGAGAGACCUAUAUAUAAAUCUUGCUGUAUUUUCUCACGUGUUUGGGACCAGCAUUCAAUUUUUGUCCGGUUGUUUCCUUUGUGAUAAGAUUGUAAUGAAAUCGAACUACGAAUUCUAAGACGUGAUAACAUUUUUUUGUGGUCCAAUUUCUUAGCUUUUUAAGUACCUUAACCCUCCUAGUCUCAAUAAUUCAACCUUUUUACUUUUACCUAUCUGCAUAAAAUAUAAUAUAGAUAUAUAUAUAUAUAUAUAUAUAUAUAUAUAUAUAUAUAAUAUAAUAAAUAUAGAGAGAAUGUUUAACCAUUUCUCUUUUCAAACACAUUAUUACUUAUCCAUCAGAAAUAUCAUACAAAACCAAAAUUAUACAUAUAAGAAUAUUCUUAGAAAUGUUUGGUAAUUUUGUUUGUAAAUCUUUGAGCUAUAUCUGUUUUUUGAUAGUUCAUUUUGUAGUAUCUUUUAAAUUUAUAUUUUUUAUUAACACCUAUAAAUAAAUACAUUUUCGUAUUUGACUUGGUUAAACAAGGAAAUUUAAGUUUUUACUUCUAUCUCUCACCUUUUUCUUCUACCACUUUCACUUCUGACCUUUUCUCACAAUAGAAAAGGAAUUACAAAGUAAAAUUGAUCUUACUCUGCAUUCCGUACUAUUUAAUCUGGAUAAAAUUUGUUUAAAUAUGUUUUAUGUUUUUUCUUAAAAAAAGUUCUUCUUCCUCCUCCAAAAUAGUGUCUUAAGAAAGUUAUAAAAAGUGAUUUCAUAAGUUUUUACUGCAUUAGAAUUCACAAAUGUUGUUCAUUUGAAAGGUACGUGGAGAUGGACGUGGCAAUAAAAGAAAGCGAACACGUUUUUCACAUAAAUAUUUAGUUUUACGUACUAUCAACAACAAGGUCCCAAACAUUCCACUACUUCUCGUACAUUUUCAGUCGUUUGUAUAUCAACGAAGGUGAUAACAAGAACCACAAUACGUGAAAUCAUUAGAAGUCUCGAAAAAAAAAAAAUUGACACAUUUAAAUUUUUUACAUUCAUUUAACAUUAUUUUUAUUUUUUUACAUUCUUUUUUAAAUAAUACAAAAAAUUACAUUUUUAUAAUCAUUUUACUCAUAUAAUAUCUAUAUUAAAUAAAUGUAAAAAUAUGUGAUAGUACCAUUACUUGAAAAAAUUUUCAUAAACGUAAGACCAUCCUGAUAUUUUUUCUAAGACAAGCAAUUAGUAUCUUUGACAACAAUUAUUCUUUUUACGUAGAUGUUUAGAAAAGGUAGAAAUGCAAAGGACAAAAACCUUAAUUCGAGCUCCGAGUAACAAAAUAUUUACAUCAACGUUGGGACUACAUUCCCGAUACCAUUACCCAGCUACAUAUAGUAAAGUAUUUGAAUGAAUUAAUUCUAUCAUUGGAUUAGAGUAAUAUAAAUAUAUAAAUUGAUAACGUAAUUAAAAAGAGUUAAGGGAAUAUAUCGACCAAUUUAAUAUCAAUUAUUAUAAUAUCAAUUAUAAUAAUUGAUAUUUAGUACUAACAAUUAAACUAAAUAAAGAAAAAGUAAAUAUACAAAAAUUAGCUAAUAAAGACUAAUUAUUACAAUUUAAAUACUUGAUAUCCUCCUGCAAGUUGGACGAUCUGGAAGAGAGAUGCAACUUGGAUAGUAAUGAGUCAAACCGAGGAUGAAGCAUAGGCUUUGUGAGUACAUAAGCAAGCUGAUCAUCAGUAGAUACAAAGGACACUCGAAACAUGCCUUUUUGAACAUUUUCAUGAACAAAAUGAUAGGCUAAGGCUAUAUGUUUCUUCCGAGGGUGAAAAACAGGAUUAGCACUCAGAGUUGUGGCACUAAGAUUGUCACAAUAGAUAACCGGAUUGGUUGUGGGCAUGUGACCAAGUUCAGUGAACAAGGAUAGGACCCAUAGAAGUUCACUGGCCAUGUCAGUCAAGGCUUUGUAUUCUGCUUCAGUUGAGGAACGAGCAACAAAGCGUUGUUUUUGGGAGCUCCAAGAGAUGAUAGUGCUACCAAGAUACAACAAAUAACCAGUGGUAGAAAUAUAAUCAUCCUUAUCACCCGCCCAAUCUGCAUCUAAGUAAGCAUGAAAGGUUAGCGAAGUAGUUGUCGAGAUGAAGAUACCUUUGUUGCAAGAGCCCGCCAAAUAACGAAGCACCCGUUUGAGGCAGACCAAUGUGCCGUUGUGGGGUGUUGCAUGAACUGUGCAAGUUUGUUGGUGCUGAAGGCGAUGUCCGGGCGAGUAAGACUUAAGUAUUGAAGAUUUCCCACGAGUGCGCGAUACUCAGUUGGGCAAGGUAGGAGAUCACCAGAAUCCUUGAGUAAUUAAGCACUGGUGGAGAAGGGAGUGGAUGCUGAUUUUGUGUUAGCCAUGCCUGAUUUAUGGAGUAGAUCAAUGAUGUAUUUCCUUUGUGGAAGAAAUAGUCCUGUAAUGGAAGGAAUUACUUUGACGCCCAAGAAAUAGUUAAGACAACCAAGGUCUUUCAGCGAAAAUCAAGCAUCAAUGGUGGAAAUAAGGUUGGACAGCUUUGUAGAGGAACUCCCAAUGAUAAUGAUAUCAUCAACAUAUACUAAUAAAUAUAGUGUGGAACGUAAUUUUUGGUAGAUGAAGAAAGAUGCAUCUGUAGUUGAAUUGACAAAGCCAAGAGAAAGUAGAAACACUCGAAGCUCCGUAUACCAGGCGCGAGGUGCUUGCUUUAGCCCAUAGAGUGCCUUUUUGAGGCGACAAAUAUGAUCAGGGAAACUUUUGUUGACAAAACCAGGGGGCUAGAGCAUGAAAACUUCCUCUUUGAGCGUCCCUUGAAGAAAUGUAUUAUUGACAUCAAGUUGGCGAAUGGGCCAUCCUUGACGAACUGCAAGUGUGAGGACAAUGCGAGUGGUGACCGGUUUAACAACCAAUUUAACAAUGCGAGGCCAACUUUUUUUCUUUAUUUUUUAAAUUGUCCUGUUGCUUAAGAGUUCAUCAUCAGAAGAAGCUUUAACAUAUAUAAUAAGUUUUUUGUGGUAUACUUUAUGUUAUCGAGAUAGAAGGAAAUUGUCUCUAAUUGUAUUCUUGUUCUCUUUUUUAUAUCUCUAAAUUUAUUAAAGAUUAAUAAAUACUAUAAGAAAAUUGAUAUCACCAAUGGUCAAAAUUCGUCGAUAAAUUAAAAUUAUCAACGAUAAAAAUUCUAUCGAUAAGAGUCAGUAGUACAGAAAGAGCUUUAGACGUCUGUUAUUUUGGGCUUUUAACGUCACAUCCAUACACGACGUCUUUAUGGGUGACGUUAAUAGGGCGUGAGACUCUGCAGGUCUGACGUCUUUAUAGACGCCUAUUAAAUGCCAUGUCCCACGUCUAUAAAGAUGUCAGACAUGUCACUACCCGACGUCUAAGGGCACUAUAAAGACAUUGGAUAUGACACUACCCCACGUCUAAGGGCACUAUAAAGACAUCGGACAUGACACUAACUGACGUAUAAGGGCACAAUAGACGUCGGAUAUGGCUUUAACCAACGUCUACUGGGUUUUCGUUGUGUUUUAAUGGAGUUUUGCUCAUGUCUUUGGGUAGUGUAGUAGCACCUCCUCCCUUUGCUAGCUUCUUCGUAAGAAAAAAUUGUGACUUUUGCAUCUCUUAUGGCAUUUCAACCCAAAACCGAAAUUGGGUCAUUGCCUAAUUUCAUUCCAACCGUCAAAGAAAAAGAAUACAAUGGCAUGAAAACUAGGCAAGGACCCAGGUUCGGCUUUGGGUUGAAAUGUCAUAAGAGAUCCAAAAAGACGCAAACUUUUCUUACGAGGAAUCUAGCAAAGGGAGAAGGUGCACUAUGCUACCCAACGACACGAGAAAAACUGCACCAAAACACAAUGAAAACUCAUUUUAAACGUAAGUUUAAAAGGUUCAAAAGAGAUCAAACGCACUUGGAAAUGCAAUGCGCAGAGAGAAAAGGCGAAGGAAGAUGAUGAAGUGUGCGUAACUGCUAGUUCGCAAUGUCCUAUUUAACAGGAAAUCAGACGUUGGUUUCCCAGCGACUGAUGUCUAUUCUCGAAUAUAAGUCGGGGACCUCACUAAUGUGACAUCCAUUCGAUUUAAAAAUUAAUAUUCGUGGUAUAUAUAGACGUUAGGUGUAAUGGGAGCCGACGUCUGUAAUUGAAUAUGGACGUCGGGGUGGCGGGAUCAAACGUCUAGAUGGCGGAAAGAAGUGACUUUUCACCUACCUAUCAGGAAUAUAUACGUCGGUUAGGGGGUACCGACGUCUAUAAUAUUAUAGAUGUCGGUGCCCCUUCUAACCGACGUCUAUAUGACGGAAAGAAAUGACUUUUCACCUACUUGUCAGACAUAUAUACGUCAGUUAAUAGGGGCCCCGACGUCUAUAAUAUUAUAGACAUCGGGGCCCCAUCGACCCAACGUCGAUAUCCCAACUUAUUUAAGAAAAUGCCACCGGUCAAUAAUUUAAGUUGGGUUUUUUCUGGUCUGAUGUCUAUGGGUGACGUUAAAGCCUAAUUUUGCACUAGUGAGUAUUGUUGUUGAUAAAUUUGUUAACAAAUUUUUUGUUACCAACAAAUUUUUCCAUUUGUACAUUUGUUGGUAAUUAUCAAUGAAUUUUUACGUCGAUGAAUUUGUCAGUAAUUAUUGGCAAAAAAAUUCGUAGGUAUUCCGUUGGUAAUUAUCGAUAAAGAAAUUUGUUGAUAAAAUCUGUUGGUAAUUAUUGAUGAAAUUUUUCGUUGGUAAAUAUUACAAUCUAGUUCAUCAUCUUCCUCGCUCUCCCUCUUCUUCUUCUUUCUUUCAAUUUUAUCAAUUCAGAAAAAUGAACACAUUCCAAACAAAAUAUGAAUCCUUCACUACAAGCUUUGAUAAAAUUUUGGGAAAAAAAUUAUGAAAGUUCAUGUCAAACAGCAGCUUUGCCGAUGGUGGAAAACGUUGGCUUUGGUCAAGAUUAGAGUGGACAAUAACUGCAUUGCCUGAUGAUGGUAGUGCUUGGAGUGAAAAAGAGGAAGAAAAGAGAUAUUGGUCCUCCCAUGCGCGUGUUAGAGAAGAAGAAAAUGAAGUGGAAGACCUUAAUGACGUCGGUGUAGGUAGAGACGAUGACCUGGUUGGAUAGAGAUGGAGACAUGUCAAAGGAGUUUGUAGCUACGGUGACUUGAGCUAAAUGGAGAAGUGGAGGAAUACAAAUGCUCCAUCGUGCAACAAAAAUGAAGACAUGUAAGAAAGAGCGAAAUAAAUAAUUCUCUCCCGGACAAAGGGAAAAAAUGGGCAAAAAUUCAUAUUUUGUCAGUAAUUCAUAUUUCAUUUAUUGUCUAUUGGUAAAUAAAAAAAAUAGAAGGGAAAAUUUUGGUUCUUUUUACCGAUAAAGUUUUCUAUGGAUAAUAUAUUUCUCAUUUAGUGUCAGAUUUUAUUGAAAAAUUUUUCAAUAGGUAAGAGAAAUAUACGUUAACGACAUGAAUUCAUCGGUAAAAUUUGUCUCUAAUUCGAAUUUACUGACCAAUUUGUUUUCUUCAAUAAAAUUCAACAGGUAAUUUCAAGAAUUUUUGUAGUAAAAAUAAUUCAAAUAUAAAAAAGAAAAUUAUAAAACUUAUUGUUCAUAAAUAUUAAGUUAAAGAUAAUAUCUUUACCUCUUAUAAAGUUUUAAUUGUGGCUAUUUUUUAAAGUACUUUUCUCACAAAACCGCACUUUUAGAAUUAAGCACCUAUACAUUCACAAUCUUUGCUGAACCCAACACCACACUUUUAGAAUUAAGCAUACAAAUUACAUAAAGAUAGGAAAGAAACAAUCACUUACAGAAAAGGAAAACGAACAUCCAGACUUGUAACAUUAGGAAAAGAUCCUAUAAUCCUAAUGUUACAUAUUAAAGAGAAAGAAACACACUUUGGCAAUGAAAACCUUAUUUGCAACAUAUUAUGACAUUUUUGGUGAUUCAUGAUAGUGAAUCCCUUCAUUCGGUGACUGGCAAAAUGCCUUUAAGGGGUGGCCAACCUUCAACGAUAGGAGUCACAGCACUCACAAGUGUGUCAUUAGUUUCAUGUGGGGUGACUUUCAUACGCACAUAGUGAUCUCCUUUGAAAAGGUAAACUUCAUUCUCCAAAUGAGAAGAAAAACACGCAUCAAUUCCAUUUUCAAAGAUCGUACCUUUCAAAACAGGGAACCCUUCGGUGAUGUCAAGAAUGUCGAUAAUACGCUUAUUGGUAUCAUAAGUAAUGCGAGUAUACUUCGCUCCCUUGAAUAUGUAAACUUCUUUCCCUAUGCUUGACCUAAAUGCACCGUCCACGCCCUCAGCAAACACCGUGUUUGUUAGGUCGGGAAACAUUUCAGCGAUUGUGAUAGGACCUACGAGGAUCCUGUCGUUUCCUGUGUUUGGAGCAUAGUCUAUGUAGGCACAGUUCUUGUCUGAGAAGAUAUAUGCUUCACUGCCUUCAGUGUUGAAGGAACAGUCUAUUCCUUGUUCUGCAAACGGCGUUCCUGCAAGUGAUGGAAAACCAGCACUAACCAAUUCAAGAGGAGUCAUAAGUUCAUCACCUAAUGCUCCGGGAGUGUAAUACAGCCUCACGUACUUGUUUUUCAUGAAGAAAUAGACUUGGAAUGGCUUUGAUGAAGGCAAUGCGGCAUCGAUAUAAACAGGGUCUGACAUUUUUCUUAACACAAGAAGAAGAAGAAGGAGUAAGAGAAAAAGAUAGAUAGAUAGAUUUAGUAUGCUUAUUUACGUUCCUCUCAGCCACCUAUUUAUACUCUUAUGAAAUCGGAUCCUCGGCCUUGUUCACUCUAUACACAUGUAGAAUUAAAAAUGAUCCUGAUAUUUUUUAUUUUAAAAAGGACAAAAUAACGGAAAAUAAUAAUAUUUUAGUUAUGUUUACAUUACUUUUUUAUUUAAAAGUGUAAUAUAAAUUAUUAUAUUAUUACAAAAAAGGGUCAAAUGAAUAUAUUUUUAAGUAGGGUGUCCAAAAACUUUUUCUUCUUGAAUGUUUAAUAAUUUUUUUAUAACAUUUAAUUACGCAAAAUAUAUAUUUUUUAAUUUUUCUUUAUUAAAAUAGUGAGAUCAACUUUAAGGUAUCAAAAUUAUCAUUUUUGUAUGAACUUAUCUGUACAUAAAGCACGUGACGAAAUGCGAUAUUGAUAAGAUCAGACAUGCAAAAACAAAUUUAAUAAUUGUCCUCUCUCUCGCCGCUUAAAUAAAUAUACCGAAAGUUUUAAUUUGCAUAUAUAGCUGCAGAAUUCUGUAUGAAAAAUACGGUGAAUUUAAAAUAAAUUUGUAUGUUUCAUAUUGUAUAUGAAUUUAUGAAUGUAAAACUAAGAAAAAACUAAUCAUCAAAGUAAUAAUAUUUUGUAUAUUUUUCAAGAAAUUAAAUAAACAAUGAUGUUAAUCUUCUCGUGGAAAUGAAAGACCUAUAUAUAAAUCUUGCUGUAUUUUCUCACGUGUUUGGGACCAACAUUCAAAUUUUGUCCGGUUGUUUCCUUUGUAAUAAGAUUGUAAUGAAAUUGAACUACGAAUUCUAAGACGUGAUAGCAUUUUUUUGUGCUCCAAUUUCUUAGCUUUUUAAGUUAAGUACCUUAACCCUCCUAGUCUCAAUAAUUCAACCUUUUUACUUUUACCUAUCUGCAUAAAAUAUAAUAUAGAUAUAUAUAAUAUAAUAUAUAUAGAGAGAAUGUUUAACCAUUUCUCUUUUCAAACACAUUAUUAUUUAUCCAUCAGAAAUAUCAUACAAAACCAAAAUUAUGUUAUAAUAUAUUGCAAAAUAAGUAAACGUUGCAUUGCAACGUUAAUAUUUGCCAACAUUAAAUUUCUUAAUUGCCAACGUUAUUUAAUAACAACGUUCAAAUAAUUUUGAAGCAAGGUUAUUAUUUUUAUGUUUUUAAUGUUUUUAAUUUCUUUUAUUUAAAUUGAUUCUUUCUUAACUAUAUAAAUAGAGAGUUUUUUCCCAUUUCAAAACACAUCAAAGUAUUUAUCUCAUUCUCCCUUUGUCUCAUUCUUUCUUCUCUUUUCCCUUUUCUAAAAAUCUGGAUUAUUUUUAUACUUUGUUUAGAGUUUCUUGCUAGUUCUAAGAUCCUCAAAAAUUUUCUGAGAAGUUCAUGUUGUAUCAUAGGGGACUUGCGUAACACGGGGACUUGCGUAACACACCAAUAGUAAGUGUGAUAUAUGUGUAGAAUCUAAAAUAACAAAGAAAACAUGUUUUUCUGUAGAAUGUCAAACUGAAACAAACCAUGUCUAUAGAGGAGGUAAAAAUUAUUUUGUGACCUUUAUAGAUGAUUUUUCUCGAUACAUCAAAGUUUACUUAAUCAAACAUAAAGAUGAAACCUUUAAUGUGUUUUUAACCUAUAAAGCAGAAGUAGAAAAUCAGCUAUAAGAAAAUUAAGAGGGUUAGAUCAGAUAGAGGUGGUGAGUAUGUGUUGUUUAAUGAAUUUUGUGUUAGAGAAGGGAUUAUCCAUGAAGUGACCCCACCAUAUUCACCCGAGUCUAAUGGAGUAGUUGAGAGGAAAAAUAGAACCCUUAAGGAAAUUAUGAAUGUUAUGCUUGUUAGUUCUAGUGCACCUGAUAACCUUUGGGGAGAAGCCUUGCUUAUAACCUUUGGGGAGAAGCCUUGCUUACUACAUGUUUUUUACAAAAUAGGAUACCCCAUACGAAAACUGGUAAAACUCCUUAUGAGUUGUGGAAAGGUUACCAACCUAACCUUAAAUAUCUAAGAGUGUGGGGGUGCCUAGCUAAGGUAAUGUUACCCGAUCCUAAGAAAAGGAAAAUAUGAUCUAAAAUUGUUGAUUGCGUGUUCUUAGGUUAUGCUGAACAUAGUGCUGCCUAUAGGUUUCUAGUUGUUAAAAGUAACAUACUUGAGAGAAAUUCUAUAAUGGAGACGAAAAAUGCUCAGUUUUUUGAACAUGUGUUUCCCUUAAAGGUUAGUGAGAUGUCUCAACCUGUUGAUGAUAAUGAUAAUAAUAAUAAUAAUAGUUAUACCAUGAAUGAGGAUUUGAGAAGAAGUAAAAGACAGAGAUAAGAAACUUCCUUUGGAGAUGACUUUUAUACUUAUCUUGUUGAUAAUGAUCCAACUAGCUUUGUAGAAGCUACUAGUGCUCCUGAUGCAAAACAUUGUGAUAAGGCCAUUAAGACUGAAAUUGAAUCAAUUUGGAAAAACAAUACUUGGACUUUAGUAGAUUUGCCUAAAGGAGCAAAACCCAUAGGUUGUAAAUGGAUCUUUAAGAAAAAAUAUCACCCUGAUGGAUCCAUAUAGAAAAAUAUAAGGCGAGAUUAGUAGCAAAAGGAUUGACUCAAAAAUCCAACAUAGAUUACUUUGAUAUUUUUGCUCUUUUGACUAGGAUUUCCUCUAUCCGAGUGUUGUUAGCUCUAACAAUUAUCCAUAAACUAGUGAUACAUCAGAUGGAUGUUAAAACAACCUUUUUGAAUGGUGAUUUAGAGGAGGAAAUUUAUAUGACUCAACCUAAAAGGUGUGUUAUACUUGGUCAAGAGGAUAAAGUUUGUAAACUCUUAAAAUCCUUGUAUGGGUUGAAACAAGCACCAAAACAAUGGCAUGAAAAACUUGAUAAUGUGUUGCUUUGUGAUGGUUUUCCACCUAAUGAUGCUGAUAAAUGUGUGUACUCUAAAUAUGAAAAUGGUGAUAGUGUCAUUAUAUGCUUGUAUGUGGAUGACAUGUUAAUAUUUGGUACAUGCAAUGAGAUUGUCGUUAGAACUAAAUUGUUUCUAGGAUCAAAAUUUGAAAUGAACGACAUGGAUGAAGCCAAUGUGUUUUAGGUUUUAGAAUCAUAAGAAAGGAAGGUAGUAUAUUACUAUCUCAAGAACAAUACGUUCAGAAACUUCUUAAGAAGUUUAGGUUUUAUGACUUAAAACUAGUGAGUACCCCUUAUGAUGCUAAUUCUAAUUUAAUGAGCUUUUCUAGACCUGAUAUUGCUUAUGCAGUAGGUAGACCGAGUAAGUACACUCAAUGUCCAAAUCAGGAACAUUGGGAUGCACUUGCUAGGCUUAUGAGAUACUUAAGAGGUUCAAUGGAUUAUGCCAUUGAAUACAGUGGAUUUCCUGUUGUACUAGAAGGAUACAGUGAUGCUAACUGGAUUUCUGAUUCAGAUGAGACAAAAUCCACUAGUGAUUAUGUAUUCACACUUGGGGGGGGGUGCGAUUACAUGGAGAUUAGCCAAGCAAACUAUUAUUGCAAGACCAACAAUGGAAUCUGAGUUUGUUGCUCUUGAGAUGGCUGGUAAUGAUGCUGAGUGGUUGAAAAACUUCUUAGCGAACAUUCCACUAGGAAUGAAACCAACCCCAUCGGUAUCAAUUCACUGUGAUUGCCAAUUGACAAUAACUAUAGCUAAAAACAAGAAUUACAAUGGAAAGAAUAGACAUAUACAAUUGAGAUACAAUUUGGUGAAGCAGCUGCUAAAGAGUUGAACCAUUUCCAUUGAUUAUGUGAAGUCAAAACGGAAUCUAGCGGAUCCUCUGACAAAACCCUUGGGAAGACAAAUGAUAUUGGAAACAUCGAGGGAAAUGAGACUUAAGCUACUUGCAGAUAAACAAGUGAUGGUAACCCAACCUUUGUGAUUGGAAGUCUUAUGAAUAAGGUUCAUAUGGGUAAAAACAAGUCACUUGUUAGUUCUGAUAGUACUAAAUUGAUUUUAAUCAAUUUUUUUCAAAAAAUAAUAAUUUAGACAACGGUUUUAGUAAAAAUCGAGACAAUAGAUCCAAUUUUUUUUGCUUUAUAGCUUCGGAUUUUUUGAGCCGAAAUCUUUCUGUCUCGAUUUUUUAAUAUCGUAACCAUUAUCAUAUUUAUUAUUGUAAAAAUUGCUAUGUAAUUUUAGCUCUUACUCUUCAUUUUUUUAUUGUUAUUGUUGUCCUUACUGUUACUUCCAUUGUCGUGAUUACCUCCUCUUCCUUUUCUCCUAGUUCUUCACUUCUUCUUUUCACAUACUUCUAUAUAGUUUUUAACAAAUAUUUCAUUAUAUUUUACAAAAAAAUUAAUGUCUAUUCUACUAAAUAAUUGUUAUAAAUUUUCAAAAACUCAACUAUUAUAAUUUUUUUAAAAGAAUUCAAACAUUAUAUAUUUACUGACAAUUUUUUUAAAAAAAUCUAUUAUUAACUUCUUCUAUCACAACAUUUUUAGAGUCUAAAAUAAGAAUUUUAAUUAUCAUUUUGUCAACAUAAUUUACCGACAAAAACAUAUUUCAAUAGUAAAAAUUUUAAAUUAUUAAUAACUUUUACUGAGAAAUUUAUUACUAAUAAAUAUUUUUAUUGAUAAUUAAAAUUCAUUUGUUGAUAAAUUCUAUUUUAUUAAUAAAUUUAUUUACCGGUAUUUGAAUGAUAGAUAAUUGAAAUAUAUAUAUAUAUAUAUAUAUAUAUAUAUAUAUAUAUAUAUAUAUAUAUAUUAUUCAACCUUUUUACUUUUACCUAUUUACAUAUAAUAUAAUAUAAAUAUAUAUAAUAUAAUAUAUAAAGAGAUAAUGUUUAACCAUUUCUCUUUUCAAACACAUUAUCCAUCAGAAAUAUCAUAACAACCCAAAAUUAUACAUAUAAGAAUAUUGUUAGAAAUAUUUAUUUACGUUCAUCUCCAGCCACCUAUUUAUACUGUUAUGAAAUCGGAUCCUCAGCUUUUUUUUUUUUCUUUUCUUUUCUUUACAUUUUGUUCAUAUACACAUGUAGAAUUCAAAAAGAUCGUAAUAUUAUUCAUAUUGAAAAAGGAUAAAUUAACGGAAAAUAAUAAUAUUUUAGUUAUGUUUACAUUAUUUUUUAUUUAAAAGCGUAAUAUAAAUUAUUAUACUAUUAAAAAAAAAGGGGUCAAAUGAAUAUAUUUUUAAGAAGGGUGUCCAAAAACUUUUUCCUCUUGAGUUGUUUAAUUAUUUUUUUAAAAUAUCUAUUUUUAUAUUUUUUUUAUUAAAAUAGUCAAAUCAAUUUUAAGGUAUCAAAAUUAUCAUUUUUGUCGGGACUUAUCUAUACAUAAAGCACGUGCGAGAUGUGAUAUUGAUAAGAUCAAACGGGCAAAAGCAAAUUUAUAAAUAAUUGUCCUUUCUCUUGCCACUGAUAGCUACCACACAGUAUUUCUUCUUAAAUAAAUAUACCCAAAGUUUUAAUUUACAUAUAUAACUGCAGAAUUCUGUAUGAAAAAUACUGUUAAUUGGAAAUAAAUUUGUAUGUUUCAUUGUAUAUGAAUUUAUGAAUGUAAAACUAAGAAAAAAAUGACCAUCAACAUAAUAAUAUUUUGUAUAUUUUCCAAGAAAUUAAAUAAAUAAUGAUGUUAAUCUUCUCAUCGAAAUGACAGACCUAUAUAUAAAUCUUUCUGUAUUUUCUCACGUGUUUGGGACGAGCUUUCAAUUUUUGUCUGGUUGUAAUGAAAUCGAACUACGAAUUCUAAGACGUGAUAACAUUUGUUUGUGGUCCAAUUUCUUAGCUUUUUAAGUUAAGUAUGGCUCAUCGCUUAAACCUUAAACCCUCCUACUCGCAAUAAUUAUAACAUGCACAAAUAUAUAUAUAUAUAUAUAUAUAUUAAUAACAUGCAUGAAGCUAUUUAUAAUUUUACUUAUAACCUAGAUAGUUUACUUUUAUUAAUAUAUCUCCACAACAAUCUAAAAGUGUUAAUCAUGUUUAUAAUGAAUUUGAAGGAGAAUGUCAUGUAUCAAAGUAAUUAUAAAAUGAUUAAAAAAUUAGAUGAAAACUUUUAUUUAUUAAUUUUUUUCCACUAAUAAAAUUUGUAGAAAAAUAUUAUAAUUUAAUUUUUUUAUUAUUAUAUUCCAUUAUCGUUUGUUUUCAUAUUUACAUAUCAUAUUUAUUAUUGUUAUUAUGGCUAUGUGACUUGUCUUNAGCUCUUACUCAUGUUGUUGUAAUGUUGUCACUUUCAUUUUCGUGAUCACCUCCUCUUCCUUUUUUUUUCAUAAUUAUUCACUUCUUAUUUUUACAUACUUCUAUAUAGUUUUUAACAAANAUUUCAUUAUAUUUGACAAGAAAAUUGAUGUCUAUUUUAGUGACAUAAUUAUUGAUAAAUUUUUAAAAACUUAACCAAAGUAAUAAAGNGUCUAUGACCUCGGUUAAACAGGCAAUUGUUGCCAUAAGAUCUGUGUACAUGACAAGUAAAGACUUUUCAUUUGUCAAAAAUAUUUGUACAGAGUUCUUGGCCCUGGUUGUUUUCAAAACCGAGGUCGUAGAUCCUCUGCUCCAAUUGACAUUCUCAUUUGUAGUCUGACGAAAAUCUCUGUGCAAGGCUUCUGGCCUCGGUUGUUUUCAGAACUGAGGCCACAACUCCACUGCCAAACCCUGACAUUCCUCUUUACACUGACGUUUGAACUGACAAACUAUAUGAAAGAGGUAUACGACCUCGAUUCUGCAGACAACCGAGGUCAUAGCCCCCUUCUUUUGACCCUUUUUAAAUAAUUAAAAUAUAAUGUUUUUUGGUUUUUGGCACUGGUUUUAUUUGAACUGAGGUAAUAUGGAAAUUUUGUCUCAGUUUGGCAAGGACCCGAGAUAAAAUUGUUGAAAAAAACUGCAAAAUUGUCACUUCAAAUUAUUUUUGAGUUUUUUUCUGGGGACUUUAGGCCUUGGUUGUUUAUAGAGCUGAGGUCAUAAACCUUUUACUGCUUCGGUUUUAAUUUUAANUGAGGCAGUAUCCCUUGCCAGGGUUAAAUUUUCUUGAAAGCGAAUAGUGCCAUCUUAUGCACUGAUCCUCUGCAUUCUUUCUUUGCACUUCUCACCCCAUCGCGACUCUGUUCUUUUUUUGCAGUUCUUGACGCUAUUCUUUGUGCCACCAUUGUCAUUGUUGACGGCGUUCUUUGCUCAUUUUUCCUCGCGAACGUUUUCAUCCGAUCAAAUUUAGCUUUCGUUGCCAUGGUUAGAACCACUUUCUUCCUUUUAUUAUUUUUGCAUUUUUGGAUUGUUUUGAUACAUUUUUUUGAUUAUUUUGAUGUGUUUUUUUAUUGUUAUGGAUGAUCAGACUAACUUUUUGUUGUAUUUGUGUUUAGGUAUUGUGUUUUUGCUAUGAAAUUUGUUUCGUUCCAAAACUAGGGUAGUCAAAUCUUCUCUAUAGUUGUUUGCUUUUUCACGCCUAUUAUUGUGUUUAUUAAUUUUCUUUUGUAAAAGUUUAAUGUUUUGUAUGUUGAAUAUAUAUAAUUAUGUAUGAUCGAAUGAGAUAGGAUCAAACCUUGAAUACACAAACGAUCAAAUUGAUCAUUUAAGAUUAUUUAAAUAUUGUAGACAAUUUCAGUAUAUUUAUGUAUGAAUUGAGAUUGAAUUAAUUUGCCACGUAUUAAUGUUAAGUACGAAAGAAGGGUAAAAGAAUUUAUACAAUUUGUGCAACGUAAUGAAGGUAGAAGUGAUGAUGAAGUGAAGUUUAAAUGUCCUUGUGUCAACAGUUUGAAUGAGAGAAAAUUGAACAAACCAAAAUUAGGAAACAUCUUAUUUGUGAUGGUUUCCUAUGAUGGAUGUUAUAAAACAUGGAUAUAGCAUAACCUUAACUUUAACCUCAAACUUUUCACCACUUUCCUUUCUCAAGCUCAAACAUUGUCAAAAUGCAUAACCGUGUUGUCUUCUCAAAUUUUCCUACGCCAGUAGGCACCAACACCUUUCUUUCUUUUUAACUUAUGACAUCAUUGAUAUACAAAACCAUGUUGAUUUCUCAAGUCUUGAUACACCAGUAUUUAUUCGAAACUUCUCUUAUUUUAGCCUUUCUUGUAAAGCUUGUGAUUUCUACUCCUCUAACUCUAUUCUUACAAUUCCUUCAACUCAAAAGUAGCUUCUGAACUCCAAUAUACUUUUUGGUAAGAAUUAUCCAUAAAGUUAUAAAAUUAUUUUUACGGAUUAAAUUAAAUCCAUGAUAAUAAGUGUAUAAACUAAAUCAAACCAACAACUUUUAUUUAUUAUCAAGUGCACAAAUCACACGGUGAUAGGAAACAAACAUCGAAACGAAACACAAACAUUAAGACAUGUUACAUUAGGACAGGAAACAGGCAUCCAAUCCCAAUGUUAGAUUAAAGAGAAAGAAACAAACUUUGGCAAUGGAAGCCUUAUUCGUAGCAUAUUAUAACACCAUUUAUUGAGAUGAGGCUCACGAGAAUGAAGGCUUGUUUAGUUCACAGGCAAAAUGCCAUUAAGAACAGACCAACCAUCAAGGAUAAGCUUGAUAUCACCGAUAAGAGUGUCAUCAUAUGUACCUGGGCUGAAUUUGAAACGCACAUACUUGUCUCCUUUGAAAAGGUAAGCUUCAGACUCCUUAUGAGAAGCAAAACACGCAUCGAUUCCACUUUCAAAGAUGGUACCAUUCAGAACAGGAAAGCCAUCAGCGAUGUUGCGAAUGCUGCCAACAAGCUGCUUGGAAUCAUAGUCUAUGCGAACAUACUUAGUGCCCUUGAAUAAGUAAACUUCUUUUCCUAUGGUGGAUCUAAGUGCAGAGUCUAUGCCAUCCGCAAACACCGUGUUUCUGAGGACAGGAAACAUUUGAGCAAUAGUGGUAGGACCUGCGAGUAUCUUGUCAUUAUGUGUACCUGGAGCAUAGUCUAUGUAGGCACAGAUGUUGCCGGAGAACACGUAUGCUUCACUCGCUUCAGUGUCAAAGGAAGCGUCUAUUCCAGGUUCUGCAAAUGGUGUUCCUGCAAGUGAUGGAAAACCACUACUAAUCAAGGUGAGAUUAGUUAAAAUCUCAUCAUAUCCUCCGGGAGUGUAUUUCAAGCGCACAUACUUGUUCUUGGCGAAGAAAUACACUUCAUAUUCUCUUGAUGAACGAAGUGCAGCAUUGAUAUAAGGGUCUGACAUCUUUCUCGACAAAAGAAGAGGAAGUAAUUGUAUAGAGAGAUAUGAUUUAAGGAUGCUUACAUUCCUCUCCGAUACACCUAUUUAUACUGUUGUGGAGUGGGAAUUUCUUUACUUGCCAUUACUUUAAUUUUGUCUAUUUUCUAAUACUUUAAUUAAUUAAAUAAUUUAUUAUAAUAUCUUAGCUGAAUAUAAUUAAUUAAAUAAUUUAUUAUAAUACUUUAAUUAAUUCGUUGCCCACUUAACAGAAGGCCAUGACAAGAAUUAAACGGAGAAUAUAUUGCAGAUAAUUUUGAAGAUAAUGAUAUAUAGACAACAUUUUUUUGACAACAUUUGAACAUUGAUUACGUGUCAAUUUGUGAUUGGUCAAAAAUUACUCCACAAUCACAAUCAUAAAUUGGAUAAUAACAAUAGUGUUUAUGAUUAUUAUUAUUGAUUGUGGAGUAAUUUUUGACCAAUCACAAAUUGACACGUAAUCAAUGUUCAAAUGUUGUUAAAAAAAUGUUGUCUAAAUAUCAUUAUCCAAUUUUGAAAGUGAUGGCGGGCUUAUGAAAACAAAUGUACGAUGUGAUUCUGUUAAUUGUUAAUUCCACUCGCACGUUGUCGUAAAGAAACAUAAAUGAUGGAGAAUGAGGAUGCAACAUUGUAUGGACGUAUCUGUACAUAAAGCACGUGACGAGAUGUGAUAUUGAUAAAAUCAAAUAGGCAAAAGCAAAUUUAAUAAUUGUCCUCUCUCUUGCCACUGAUAUUGAAAGCUACCACACCAUCCUAUACCCAAAGUUUUAAUUUACAUAUAUAACUGCAGAAUUAUCUAUAAAAAUACGAUUAAUUGGAAAUAAAUUUGCAUGCUUCAUUGUAUAUGAAUUUAUGAAUGUAAAACUAAGAAAAAACUGACCAUCAACAUAAUAAUAUUUUGUAUAUUUUCCAAGAAAUUAAAUAAAUAAUGAUGUUAAUCUUCUCAUCGAAAUGACAGACCUAUAUAUAUAAAUCUUGCUGUAUUUUCUCACGUGUUUGGGAACAGCUUUCAAUUUUUGUCCGGUUGUUUGUGGUCCAAUUUCUUAGCUUUUUAAGUUAAGUAUCGCUCAUCCUUUGAACCUUAACCCCUCCUAGUCUCAAUAAUUAUAACAUGCACAAAAGUUUUAUAUAUAUAUAUAUAUAUAUAUAUAUAUAUAUAUAUAUAUAUAUAUUAUAAUAAUAAUAACAUAAAUGAAGCUAUUUAUAAUUUUACUUAUAACCUAGAUAAUUUACUUUUAUUAAUAUCUCCACAACAAUCUAAAAGUGUUAAUCAUGUUUAUCAUAAAUUUGAAGGAGAAUGUCAUGUAUAAAAGUAAUUAAAAAAUGAUCUAAAAAUUAGAUGAAAACUUUUAUUUAUUAAUUUUUUUCUACUAAUAAAAUUUGUAGAAAAAUAUUAUAAUUUAUUUAUUUUUUCAUUAUCUUCCAUUGUCGUAUGUUCUCAGGUUUACUUUAUUAUUGUUAUUAUCGCCAUGUGGCGUGUCUUUAGCUCUUACUCAUCUUUUUUCAUUGUUGUUGUACUGUUGUCACUUUCAUUUUCGUGGUCACUCCUCUUCUUUUUCUCAUAAUUCUUCACUUCUUAUUUUCACAUACCUCUAUAUAGUUAUUAACAAAUAUUUUUAUUGAUAAUUAGUACUUCUUUUUGGAUAAUGUUUAUCUAUCUUCUCUGCAUUCCGUACUAUUUAAUCUGUAUAAAAUUUGUUUAAAUAUGUUUUAUGUUUUUUCUUAAAAAAAGUUUUUCUUCCUCCUCCAAAAUAGUGUCUUAAGAAAGUUAUAAAAAGUGAUCUCAUAAGUUUUGACUGCAUUUACACAAAUGUUCAUUUGAAAGGUACGUGGCAAUAAAAGAAAGUGAACACCUUUUUCACAUAAAUAUUUAGUUUUACGUACUAUCAACAACAAGGUGGUCCCAAACGUUCCACUACUUCUCAUACUUUUUCAUUCGAUUAUUGUUCUUGUAUAUUAAUGAAGGUGACAACAAGAAGCACAACACGUAAUUAUUGGCAGUAGACCUGUCAAAUAACUCCUUAUAAUAGGUCUUGGUUCUAGGUCAUGUGGAUUGGGGUCAAAAAAACCCUUAGGGCCAAAAAAGCUCUUUAUUAAAAAAGUUUUGAGGGUUAAAAAACUUCAAAGUCCUGUAGGUUAGGGUCAGCUCAUGGAUUUUCUUUUUUACAAAAAAAAAUAAAUAUCCAACAAUAAAUUGCAUUUUUCUAGAAAAAAAGAACAUUUAUGUUAAGUGUUAUAACUUGAAAAAUACAUGUAAGCAUACAUGUAAGCAUCUUUCUUUUACUUUAAUAAAUAUUUUUACAUAAUUAUUAAUUAGAAAAUAAUAAAUAGGAUUUCAUAUUUUUCAUCCCUAAAUUUGACGUUAAAUUGAAAUUAGUGUAUAUUAUAACCUUUCAAAAAUNNNNNNNNNNNNNNNNNNNNNNNNNNNNNNNNNNNNNNNNNNNNNNNNNNNNNNNNNNNNNNNNNNNNNNNNNNNNNNNNNNNNNNNNNNNNNNNNNNNNNNNNNNNNNNNNNNNNNNNNNNNNNNNNNNNNNNNNNNNNNNNNNNNNNNNNNNNNNNNNNNNNNNNNNNNNNNNNNNNNNNNNNNNNNNNNNNNNNNNNNNNNNNNNNNNNNNNNNNNNNNNNNNNNNNNNNNNNNNNNNNNNNNNNNNNNNNNNNNNNNNNNNNNNNNNNNNNNNNNNNNNNNNNNNNNNNNNNNNNNNNNNNNNNNNNNNNNNNNNNNNNNNNNNNNNNNNNNNNNNNNNNNNNNNNNNNNNNNNNNNNNNNNNNNNNNNNNNNNNNNNNNNNNNNNNNNNNNNNNNNNNNNNNNNNNNNNNNNNNNNNNNNNNNNNNNNNNNNNNNNNNNNNNNNNNNNNNNNNNNNNNNNNNNNNNNNNNNNNNNNNNNNNNNNNNNNNNNNNNNNNNNNNNNNNAAGUUUUGGAGUGAGACUAAAAUUUAAUUAAAGUUUUGGAGUGGGACUAAACCCACUUUAACCCUGACCCUAACCCACUUGAGAGGGGGUUUUGGGGAUUUGGACUUUUUUCUGACCCCCUACUUAAGAGGCUUCUUAAAAUAGGGUUUUUUCAAUAGUGGAUUAGAAUGAUCCUGAGCCAUGGGUUAAACUAACACCUCUAGCCACAAAAAAGAAAUUUAAUUUUGCANAUAUUUUUUCUAACACAAGCAAUUAGUAUCUUUAACAACAAUUAUUCUUUUUAUGUAAAUGUUUAGAAAAGGAAGAAAUGCAAAAGGACAAAAACCUUAAUUCGAGCUCAGAGUAACAAAAUAUUUACAUCAACCUUGGGGCUACAUUCCCGAUAGCAUUACCCAGGGGGCACCAAGCCAAGGAUAAGAUCAAGAAAUCUAUAAAUUAAAUAUUCCAUGAAUGUAUGCAAACAGAGAGCUAAAACUUCUGAAAUAAAUGACCCNAAAACAAACAAUCCAAGAGUCUAAAACAGAGAGCCAAAAGAUAUUGCAAACAUUUUGAAAUAAGUCUAAAAUAUUUCCAUCAGGUUUUUCAUUCUGCAUUUCUUCAUUAACAACAAUCGCAUCAUUCUUCGAAUGUUUACUAUAAUUUUAACCUACUAGAAUCAUGUGUUAGAAUUUAUUUGAUAUAAUGUGUUAUGUAUUAUGAAGAUAUUUGUUUUUUUUUUAUCUAUUGUGAUCAGAUCACCGUCUAAUUUCAUAUUCAAUAUAUAUAUAUAUAUAUGGGGUUUGUUAACACGCGUACGCCUGUUUUUCAGUUGGUACGUUUUAACAAUGUGUACCGGAUUAUAAUAGACAAAAAUAUCCUCAUUUAUCAUGGAUUCUAAGUUUUAAAGUAAAGGAUAUUUAAAUAAUUUUCAUUCUCAAAACUAAAAAAAAAAAACACGAAACCCCCAAACUCUUACUCACCUCCCUCAUUCCUCUCAACCCUUUCUCUUUCAUCUUUCUCACUCCAAUAUUUUCUCUGUCAUUCCUAUUUCCUAUUGCUCGAAUUGAAAAAAAAAUCAUAACUUUUUCCUUUCUCUGUUGGUAUGGGAUACAUGAUGUAAGAUUACAACCUAGAAUUGAAAGAAUUGUACUCCUAGGAAAUUCUUCUAUAUCAAUUUCUUUAAUUCCCUUAUGUUCCUUUUUUAUCACUGAAUCAACUUCUACAGGCGUUUAGAAUAAACUUUAACCACUGUGCAAGAUAAAAACUAGUAAAAUCAUUUUUUAUCUUUGAGAUUUGGGAAGAGUAACAUAAAAUGACAAAUUUUAUAUUCAUUUUACACACAUUAAUAAAUAUAAAAUGAUUAUAAAAGAGUAAACUUUUUCAAUUUUUAAAAAAUAUCUCUGAUUCAAAUUGCUACCACCAUCUUCAAUUGGGUUGAGAUAAGAGAAAAAAUGUUGGAAUGAUGACAGAGAAAAUGUUGAGAUGAGAGAGAAAAUAUCUCUGAUGACAAAGGGUUUCUGAUUUUUUUUUAAUUGGGGCAACAGUAGGGAUGACAGAGAAAAUGUUAGAAUGAGAAAGAUGACAGAGAGAUGAGAGAGAAAGGGUUGAGAGGAAUGAGGGAGGUGAGUAAGGGUUUCAGGGUUUCUUUUUUUUUUUUUUUAGUUUUGAGAAUGAAAAUUAUUUAAAUAUCUUUGACCUUAAAACUUGAAUCCAUGAUAAAUGAGGGUACUUUUGUCUACUAUAAUCCGGUACACAUUGUUAAAACGUACCAACUGAAAAACAGGCGUACGCGUGUUAACAAACCCCUAUAUAUAUAUAUAUAUAUUUCAACACGAGAAUAUGAUGAAAGUAAUAUAUGUUAAAAGUUUUACAUUAACUAAAAAUAAAGACAUGUCAUAAUAUGUAAACGAUUACAAAUUUUAGUUUACAAACUAAUUUUAUAAAAUUAAAUUAAAUUUAAAAUUUAUUUUCUACCAUUUACAUGAUUAAAAAUAAAGUUUAUCAUUUCUAACCGUAAUUGAUAAUUGAUGAUUUUAUUUAAUUCAAUCACGAUUACCAUUUAUAAACUUUCUUAAAUAGUAGUCUUUAAAACAUUAUCACUCCUCCAAAAUCUACUUUAUUUAUUUGUACCAUUUAGCCAUCGAAAGAUAAUACAGUUAUAAAAUAUGGUUAUGGAGACUUUCCCUCUUUGUAGCAAAUUAUUAGAGUCAUCUGUACUAAAAGUUACUUUUUGAUGAUAAUUAUCUAUUUUAAGGAUUAAGUUAAAUCUAUAAUAAGGUUUAAUUAUUUAGAACAUUUUUAUUUUUGUAGGGUUUUCUCAAUUAGGUCCUCGUAUUGUAAAAUCUCUUAAUUAGGUCACUAAUUGUGAAAAAUUGGAUCAAUUUAGUGUUUACUGUUAAAUUGAGUGGAUGACGUUAAAAAUUGAUGUAUGUGGCAGGGUCACAUUAGCAGGUUUUAUUGAUGUGGCAGAUUAUAGUGAAGUGAGUUGGAUUUGUUUUAUUUAAAAAUUAAUUUUUCUUCAAAUAAAAUGAUUGAAAACGCAGUAUUUAAAUAAAAUACAAUUACUAAAUGAAACUGCAUUGUCUUCUUCCUUGGGUGUCCUCUUCCUGAAAAUGCAUUGUCUUCUUUUUUGGGUGUCCUCCUGCUAGGGAUUUGGAAGAUACAGCGAUUUCACGUAGAUCAUUCAAAAAUAUUUUAUCUUUUCUGUCAAUCAGCCACAGGCAACCAGUGCCUCAUUUUCAUUUAUCCAAUACAACAUAAGAGGUUUAUAAAUUCCAGAAUCUUCAAAUCUUAAACAGUUCAUCCUCUUUUGUUGGGUAAUCUGAUUACCUUGGAAAGUCCAUUCCAAAGAAAUGAGAAGCCCAACCAGAUAGAGAAAAUUAGAAUUAGAGGACUCCCAAGCUAAAAAGAAUGCACCUUUGAUCACCAUCUCCUCAACAGAAAUAUGCCUUUGGAGGCCAAUAAGUGAAAUUUGGGUACAAGCGUUCAAGAAAUUAGGAACAAAGUACACACAUCUCAUUACACAUUUUUAACACUUAAUUAAGAAAUCAGGAAUAAAGUAUACGAAUUUACUCUUCCCAAUUCCCCUGAACCACUGCCACAGUGUGAUGGAUCAAUGUUCAAUUUCUGAUUCAAUUCCAAACCCUAACCAUAUCAAUUGCAUUGCCCUCUUUUCCCCCCUUCAAUGGCCAAUGUCUCUCAGUGAUAGCUCCUCUACAACCGCAACCCGAGCUCUACCCUAUGCUGUGGAAGCACGUCAACCUCGUCUGCACCAAAGUCGUCGUUGCGCCUUCGACGGCUCAGUCGUCGUCAUCUGUUGUGGGGUUGCGCGUUUUGGGGAUGUUGAAGUUUUGUUAGGCAUGGACAAUGUUGUGGUAGGAGGUUGGCGUGCAGAGGCUGGGGGAGGGAGUUUUGUGUGGACCGUUGCAGAAGAUGGUGGUUUCUCACGAGACUGUUAGCGGAGGCGGAGUUGGAGCAGCAAUAGUUGAGAAGGUGCUAAAGGUGUGUGGUUACAAAGAUUGGGUUUAAUUAUUUUAUCAGAAGUCAUAGUAUAAAUUAGGUUUAAUUAUUUAAAACUUGAAAUAAAAUAAAUUACACCUAAGAUGAACACGUACCACGUUAUUAAAAUUUGCUUGAUCAAUAUGUCAUGAUUUAUUAAAUUUAUCACCGUCUGCUGAAUUUAACGACAAAACUUUAAUUGACUCAAUUUUACAAAAAUAAUAACCUAAUUGAGAUAAAAACAAAAUACGAAAACCUAAUCGAGAAAACCUACAGAAAGGGAUGUUCUAAAUGAUUAUGGAGACUUUCCCUCUUUGUAGCAAAUGAUUAAAGUCAUCUGUAAUAAAAGUUACUUUUUGAUGAUAAUUAUCUAUGAAGUCAUACAAAUUAUUUUAAGGAUUAAGUUAAAUCUAUAAUAAUUAUCAAACCAAACCAAACCCACUUUAUUUAUUAAGUGUAGAAUUUACAUGAAGAUAGCAGAGAAACAUCGUACAGUAAAGGAAACACAAACAUUUGUUACAUUAGGACAGGAAACAGGCAUCCAAUCCCAAUGUUAGAUUAAAGAGAAAGAAACAAGCGUUGGCAAUGGAAGCCUAAUUCGUAGCAUAUUUUGACACCAUUUAUUCAUAUGAGGCUAAGUGGUUGAUAACGAUGACGAAAAUGACAGCUUUCGUAGGCCUAACAUCACCCACAUUCCUUCACUUAACUCUCCCAAAAAAACAUAUUUUGGAGUUGAACGCAUCUUAACAGUGAACUCAAUCCGCUUCCUUUCCGGAAUCAAACCUCUGAGACUGGGCCAUCCUUCAAGGAUAGGCUUGAUAUAACCCACAAAAGUGUCAUCAGUUGAACCUGGGGCGAGUUUGAUACGCACGUAGUUCUCUCCUUUGAAAAGGUAAAUUCAGGCUCCUUAUAUAUGAGAAGUAAAAUAUGUGAUGGAAGUCUCACAUCAAUUAGAGAUAAGACCACUUUAUAAUAUAUAAGUGAGGUACAGACCUCACCUUAGAAGCCAGAGUAUCCUGAGAGUAUCCUGUCAUUUAUUGUACCUGGAGCAUAGUCUAUGUAAACACAGAGGUUGCCGGAGAACACAUAUGCUUCACUUGCUUCAGUAUCAAAGGAACAGUCUAUUCCAUGUUCUGGCGUUCCUGCAAGUGAUGGAAAACCACUACUAAUCAAGCUCAGAUUAGUUAAAAUAUUAUCAUCAUCUGAUUUCCCAGGAGUGUAGUGCAACCGCACAUACUUAUUCUCCAUGAAGAAAUACACUUGAUUUUCUCUUGAUGAACGAAAAGGAGCAUUGAUAUAAGGGUUCGACAUCUUUCUUAACAAAACAAGAGGAAGUAAAAUAGAUAGAUAUGAGCUACGCAAGAGGACCAUCACAACCUUCUUUAGUCUCAAUAUAUAUGAUUUUAUUUAAUUUUUAUAAUAUCAAUACUCUUCUUGUUUAUCAAAAAAAAAAAUGCCAACACUAUUUAAAAACUAAUAUUAAAUAAAUAUAAAUUAUAAGGUAUUUCUUAUUUCUUAUGUAGUACAUCUAAUUAACAGUAAAAGAUAGUAAAUCGUCAUCAACUAACGCCCUUUCUGCUUUAAAAAAACAUCAAAUAAGGUAAAAAAGAAUAAAGAAAAAGAAAUCCAAAAUUUAUACCUGGAAACAAUGUUGCAUCCUCAUUAUCCAUCAUAUAUGUUUCUUUACGACAACUGUGCGAGUGGAAUUAAUAACAGACACACGUACAUUCGUUUUCAUAAGUCCAAGAUCACUUUCAACGUUAUCUGCAAUAUAUAUUCUCCAUUUAGUUUUUGUCAUGGCCUUCGGUUCAAGUGGGGAACCAAAAGGAGACCUACACUUUUUUUCUUCAAUUUCCUACCAAUUCUUCGUUUAUAUUCUUUACCAAUUGGACCACAAUAUUCUUUGCGUUAGAUCAGAAUAUAUAUAUAUAUAUACACAUUAGAAAAAUAUAUAAAAUUAAAGUAAUUCCAAGUAAGGAAAUUCCCACUCCACAACAGAAUAAAUAGGUGUAUCGGAGAGGAAUGUAAGCAUCCUUUAAUCAUAUAUCUCUAUACAAUUACUUCCUCUUCUUUUGUCGACAAAGAUGCCAGACCCUUAUAUCAAUGCUGCAUUUCGUUCAUCAAGAGAAAAUGAAGUGUAUUUCUUCGCAAAGAACAAGUAUGUGAGGUUGUAUUACACUCCCGGAGGAACUGAUAAGAUUUUAACUAAUCUGCGCUUGAUUAGUAGUGGUUUUCCAUCACUUAAAGGAACGCCAUUUGCAGAACCUGGAAUAGACUGUGCCUUUGACACUGAAGGGAGUGAAGCAUACAUGUUCUCCGGCAACAACUGUGCCUACAUAGACUAUGCUCCAGGUACAACAAAUGACAAGAUACUCGUAGGUCCGUACACAAUUGCUGAUAUGUUUCCUGCCCUCAAUAGCACGAUGUUUGCGGAUGGCAUAGACUCUGCAUUUAGAUCCACCAGAGGAAAAGAAGUUUACUUAUUCAAGCGCAAUGGGUAUGCUUGCAUAGACUAUGAUUCGAAGCAGUUUGUUGGCUCCAUUCGGAAAAUCACUGAUGGGUUUCCUGUGCUGAGAGAUACCAUCUUUGAAAAUGGAAUCGAUGCUUGUUUUGCUUUUCAUGAGGAGCCUGAAACUUACCUUUUCAAAGGAGAUAAAUAUGUGCGUAUCCAUUUUACCCCAGAUAAAACUGAUGACACUCGUCGUGUAGGUUUUAUCAGACCUAUCCUUGAUGGUUGGCCCAGUCUCAGAGGAUUAUCAGGCCCGGAUGCGUCUCCUGCUAUGCCCUCCAAACCUCCAAAUAAGUGAAGGAAUGUGGGUGAUGUCAGGCCUAUCCUCUCAGAGGCAUUGUGCCUGUCAACUACACAAUCUGUCAUUUUCGCCAUCGUCAUCAACCACCUUAGCCUCAUAUCAAUAAAAUGGUGUCAUUGCCAAAGUUUAUUUCUUUCUCUUUAAGCUAACAUUAUAGGAUUGGAUCGAUGCAUGUUUCCUGUCCUAAUGUAACAAAGAGUGCAUGUUUGUGUUUCCUUUACUGCACGAUGUUUCUCUGCUAUCUUCAUGUAAAUUCUACACUUAAUAAAUAAAGUGGGUUUGGUUUGGUUUGAUAAUUAUUAUAGAUUUAACUAAAUCCUUAAAAUAAUUUGUAUGACUUCAUAGAUAAUUCUCAUCAAAAGGUAACUUUUUAGUACACAUGACUCUAAUCAUUGCUACAAAAAAGGAUAGCCUCCAUAACCUUAUUUUAUACCUGUAUUAUGUUUCGAUGACUAAAUUGUUCAAAUAAAUAAACUAGUUUUUGGAGGAGCAAGUAAUAAUGUUUUAAAGACCACUAUAUAUGAAUUGAAUAAAAUCAUCAAUUAUCAAUUAUUAUCAUAAAUGAUAAAAUUUAUAGUCAUGUACAAUGUAAGAAAUAAGUUUUAAACUUAAUUUAUUCUCACAAAAUUAGUUUCUAAGAUGAGAUCCACUAAUGAAAAAUGACAUUUUGUGAAAUACAAAAAUGAAAUUUUAUGAUGUAGUUUUGGGCGUAAUAGUAAAUCUGCGCAUUUUAUGACGUAGUAAAAAUUUACGUCAUAAUAGUCUGAAUAUAUUAUGACGUAGUUUCUGAAAUCAGUCAUAAUAUACACGAAAGAUUAUGACGUACAUUGUUUUGUACGUCGUAACAUAUGCUUUUUUUUUAAAAUUAUUAUUACAAUUGAUAUCCAAUGAAAUUUAUAAUUACAAAUGGUACUGUUAGUUACAUGGAUCAGACAAUGCCUUGCAAAUGCUACAUGUAUUAGAAGUCAUGGAUGACUCAAACUAACUAUCUAGUCUAUCUUAUCCUUCAGUCCUUCAAUUAUUGGGUGAUCCCAAAUCAUGUACGAUGAAGGAGCCUAAUCUAUGAAGACAAUGUAUAGACAUAUACAUGUGAUUUAUUUAAUCUUAUAUCACUUAAAAUUAGUUCUAAGCCGACUGAUCUUUAUCGUCACUCUCAACGACCACCUGUGAGUAAAAAGAGGAUUAACUUCACUAAAAUUUGAUUGAUAAGUCGAAACAAUUAAAACAAUAACACUUAGCCAACGACUAUUCAAUUCAAAACCAAUUAAGAGUUGCAAUCAGAAUCUUUGACAUAACAUUCCAACACAUUAAAUUAAAGCUCUAGAAGUUAGAAAUACAGCUAUAACAACUCACAAUUCAGAUAUUGAUCUCUAACUUCUUUACCACUUAAUGCAAAGCAUUACAACCUCUGAUAUAUUCACAUAAAUUACUUAAUUUGAACCAUUUGUGCAUAAUAUUAAUUUAUGUUCUAUUAUUGAAAAGUGACACUACGACCUCAAUCAAUACCGAGAGAUUCUAAAGAAAAAAUGGUUGUACAACACAAUAUCUUAUUCAUAUUCAUCAUGCUAUCACUAUGAUUACUUUUUCAAGAAGCCAAAAGUUGAAGCUAGAUCAAGAAUGUUGGUAUAAUUAUCAAUUUCACUUUUAGCAACACCACAGAAAUAAACUCGAAAUCUAUUAGAUUUUAAUUAACGAAUAAGAUUAUAUAGCAAGAAAUGAAGAAUCACAUCAAAAAAAAGGAAGAGCUAAUGACAAUAUUAAUUGAAAAUAAAAUACUACACCAAAAACGAAGGAGACAGAGUAAACUACAACUCUUACUGUAACUUAUCUAUUCUCCUAAUUAGAAAUAAAAUACUAAAUAUUCCCAAUAAGUUAAAUGAAGGCAUAAAUAACAACUUGAACCUAGUAAAGUUUUUCAUUGUAGAACUAGGACUCAAAUAAGUGUAGAAAAUAGUAUAUUGACCAGCACAUGGAACACUAAAUAAUAAAAAAAAUCUAUGAAUACAUUAUAGAAAAAAUACCAUAACUAUUCACCUGGGCAUCACGCGGAUCAAUUUUUGUAGCUCUCCUAAUAAAGUCCUGGCCUUUAUCGGUUUGACCAAGCUGAACAUAUAUAUAUAUAUAUAUAUAUAUAUAUAUAUAUAUAUAUAUAUAUAUAUGCCCAAGCGCCUAGAAAAAAGACAAUAUAUAUCAACACAACAAUAUAAGAGAAGGAAGAAAGAACAUCCAGUGACAUAUGUUAAGCGACUCUUAUGUUGCUGCAAAAGCAUUCAAGCCGUAGAAAGAGAAAUGAUGUUAAAAAGGAAGAAAGUAAAAUUUCUUUCGAUUUGAAGAACUUACUUUCGAUGUCUCACAACUUUUCAAAGUUUGAGAGUGCCCUUUUAAAAUCUCUCAACUUUAUCUGCACUUGUCCCAGACUUGGAAACGUUAGUGAUUAAAACAGUGAAUUAGGUGAGCGAUGUUGAAGCAAUAAGCGUUUCAAAUUGAACCAAUUUUGUCAAAAUGAAGAUUUCAUAUAGGAUACCGAUGGUGGAGAAAGAUAGUUGUGGGGUAGUAAAAUAGAUUGUGAGAAUUACUAAAGUGAAAAAUCAAACACAUUAAUUUAUAAAUUAAUAUCAGAUAAUGAAAAUAACUUCUAAAUCACGCAUCAAACAAAAUCAGAAAAUUAAUGGUUGAUCGGUCGCACUAUUAUACAUCAAACAAAUCUAUCAUACAUCAUAAAAUCUAGAUUUGUAUUUGUUUAUAUACUUUGAAAUUGUUUAAACUCUAAUCAACGCGGAACUUCCUACACAUCUCAUCAUGUUAAGAUAUAUACGUUUUGAGUAUAGAACUAAACAUUAAUGGGUGUUCCAGUAAUAAAUAGAACAAUAGAUUCAACAAAAAACAAAUAUUCUAAUCAUAAGUGACAUAAUAUGUCAAACAAAUAAUAAAUUUUGUUAAAAUAAACUCUAACGCUUGACUCUAAUAUCAUAAUACAAUUACAUAUGGAUCUAUAAAACGCAUGACUUUAAAAUCAUCUCACUUAAUGACAAGUUUUCUUUUUCAAUUCCAAAAAAAAAUAACAAUCUUUUUCGAAUUCAAAUCUAAAUAAAUUUCAAUCUAAAAUGAUGUGAAAUUCUAAAGAAAAUUAAAAAAAUAUAUAUCAUACAAUCCAAAAUUAUCUUAAAUUUCAAAUAUAAUUGAAAAACAAACUCAUAAAACUAAAUUAGGUAGGUUGACGAACCAACCCAACUCACCACGGAUUCAACCCGGGUGAAUUGGGUUCAUAGUGGAUUGGACACAAAAUUAGCCCAUAUCAAAAUUUUAAUUUUUUCUUCAACUCAACCCGACUUAAACCAUAGUCAUUAGUACAAAAAUCGUAUACAACGUCGGUGUUUUUGGGCUUUUAACGACAAACUCGAGGUUGACAUCAUAUUGAGAGACGUUAAAGUAACAUCAAAUUAUAGAGGCUGACGUUAACAGUUUACAAAAAAUGUCGACCAAUACACAAAGUCGACGUCUAAUAUGUGACUAAAUACACAAUACCCAAGUGGAUGUAAAGGAUGAUUUGAUGUCCACUGAAAAGGUGGUGAGACAUAACAUUGAUGUCGAUCAUGAAGCUAUAUUCGACGUGAAUGUCGCUGAGGAGCUUGUCCAGCGGCACAUUUUUAUGGUUUUUGCAACUGGAAGGGGUUUAACGUCGAGUAUAGCUUCAAUCCGACGUCAACCUCCAUUAGUGGAAAAUAUACUUUUUAUAACGAUAUUUUAUACCUGUUAAAAUCUACCUGCUAUAAAAAGUGACGCAAUGGCAAUUUCGUAAAUAAAAUAAACUUUUCUACACCGGUUGUAAUAAAAUCAGGUAUAAAAAGUGAUGCAGUAGCAAAAUUAUAAAUAAUACAAAUAGCUUUAUACCGGUUGCAUUAAAAAUAGGUAUAGAAAAUCUUUUACUUUACAUAUUCAAUUUCACAUAUUCCUGGAGAGCUUCAUUCGUCUCCCUCGAGCUUCUUCUUCUUGAGACCACAACUUAUCAGGUUUUUCCUUUCACAUAAUCACUUCACCUUCUCCGAUCUUCAUUUCUUCUAUCGAGCUUCUUCUUCUUGAGACCACAACUUAUCAGGUUCUUCCUUUUUUCACCAUUUCAUUCGAGUUUGACCGAUUAAAACGACUUUUGAACCGAUCAAAUCCUUUCUCAUCGAUUAUUUUCAUUUUCCACUAAUUAAACCCUCAUUUGCUUCGAUCUAGUCCAUUUCUACCGAUUAAUCACUUGUUUUCACCGAUUAAUCAGUCCAAUCAAUCUCUCCUCACUAUUAAGAGCAGGAAACAUUUCAGCAAUUGUGUACGGACCUGAGAGUAUCCUGUCGUUUAUUGUACCUGGAGCAUAUAGUCUAUAGACACAGAGGUUGCCGGAGAACACAUAUGCUUCACUCGCUUCAGUGUCAAAGGAACAGUUUAUUCAAUGUUCUGCAAAUGGCGUUCCUGCAAGUGAUGGAAAACCACUACUAACCAAACGCAGAUUAGUCAAAAUCUUAUCAUCAUCUGAUUUCCCGGGAGUGUAAUGCAACCGCACAUACUUAUUCUCCAUGAAGAAAUACACUUGAUUUUCUCUUGAUGAACGAAAUGCAGCAUUGAUAUAAGGGUUCGACAUCUUUCUUAAUAAAACAAGAGGAAGUAAGAUAGGAAGAUAGCUUACAAGAGAGAUAUAUGAUUUGAUUUGAGGAUGCUUACAUUCCUCUGCCAGCCACCUAUUUAUAAUGUACAUGAAUGGGAAUUUCUUUACUUGAUAUUAAUUUAAUUUUAUGUUAUACUUACUUUUUCUAUUUUUCUAACUCAUUAAUUAAUUAAAUAAUUUAUUAUAGUAUCUUAGCUGAAUAUGUGAAAUAAAAUAUUCAAAUGUAUAAAAUAAUAGAUUCAUUCUUAUCUAACUAAAAGAAUAUUGUAUUCGAUUUGGUUAAGAAUAUAAACGAAUUCAAGAACAAUCCUUUUUUCUCCCCAUUUGAACUCAAUGCCAAGAAAUUAAAAAGAGAAUAUAGUGCAGAUAGAACUUCGAAAGUGAUUGUUAUAAAUACGAAUACAUGCUCUGUGUGUUGAUUCCACUCACACAGUAGUCCUAAAGAAAUAUAAAUGAUUGGAGAAUGAGGUUUAUUCAAUAAGUUUCUUGCUGAAAAUUACCAUUAUACAUGGAAGUUAGUCUUGCCUUUACUUAUCUUUGCUUGAAGAAGAAUCUUGACAACUUGGGAGGCCUAGAUCGACAACUACAACAAAAAAACAAAGGAGAACCAAGAGAAUUGAACGGAAUAAGUAAAAAAAAAAAUUCUUUUUGACAAUUAUUUUUUCAAUUAUUUUUUUAAAACUAAAUUGAAACUGAUCAAUAAAAUGAUGACAAAUAUUCUGUAUCAAAAUGUUGUAAAAAAAUAUUAUUAAAAUAUCAACAUCCAUAAGUAAAGCAUGAGAGUAACUACAUUAGGUUUAACCUAUGUAACUGUGAUGGGAAAUGUUCAUCUUCAUAUCUUCAUCUUCGCAUAAUGUGUGUUUGACUUUCUACAUCAUUAGCAUCAAUAUUUAAGUUUUAACUGAUGUUAUGAUGUCUACAUAAUAAAAUUUAUUUGUUUUAGCAGAGAAUGUCUUAAUUAUUGAAGGGUGAAUAUUGUAUGCUUAUUUAUAUAUCUUUGCUGACAAAAAUAAAGAGGGGCUAUUGAAGGAGUAUUAAUAUAAUUUGUUUAUUUAUUUAACCAAGCUUAGAGAGAGAGAGAAAAAGAAUAGUUAUUCAAGUUUAAUAGGUUCUUUUAAAUUUAAAUUCUGAAUGCUAAAUUGUGUUGCAUAUUUAGGAAGAGAGUUUAUCAUUCAUAAUGGAUGAUUUUAUUCAAUUCAAUCACAAUUGCCUUUCAUUCUUUGAAAAAUUUAUUUGCUCCUCGAAAAACUAGUUUAUUUAUUUUACCCUUUAGAUAUCAAAAGAUAAUGCAGUUAUAAAAUAAAAUUAUGGAGACUUUCCUCUUGUAGCAAAGAUUAGAGUCAACUUUACCAAAAAUUAAUUUUUUGAUAAGAAUUAUCCAUAAAGUUAUAAAAAUUAUCUUUAUGGAUUAAAUUGAAUCUAUAAUAAUCAUUGUAUACACCAAAUCAAACCAGCCACUUUUAUUUAUUAUUAAGUGCACAAAUUACACGGUGUUACAGGAAACAGGCAUCCAAUCCCAAUGUUAGAUUAAAGAGAAAGAUACAAACUUUGGCAAUAAAAUGUUAUUUAGUUGACUAAAGAAAAACUGUUAUUUAAAUAUCAAAAAAUAUGAAUUUAUUUUUUAUUUUUUAAUAAAAAAAUAUUUUUAUUCGUGUCGAAAUGGAGUCCGUUUAAUAUUGGACCUUAUAUAGAAUCAGCUCUAACACAAUGCAAAAUGCUACAAAUUUCAGUAUUUAUAUUUAUUAAAGUUAAUAAGAGUUUAACAACUAUUUUAUAUAUUAUGAAUUCGUGUUCAUUGUUGCUGAAAAUUGUCACAACUAAUAGGAACUAUAGAUUUUUUUUUUAUCAACAAAGAAUUAAUUAAUUAAUAUAGUAGAACAUUGGGGUGUUAUAACCCUUUUACAAAAAAUAUGAUAGUCGUAUACAUUAGGGAUGCAAGAAAGCUAACAUCAUGAGUCUCAACAAAAAAUUGAACACAAUAACUAAACCAUUGCUCAUCCUGGAUACGGAAUAAAAAGUGCAGAGAGAUUAACAUCAUAAGCUUAAAAAACAAUCCAAACCAUUGCACAUCAUCAUCAAUACAAUACAAAAGAAUUGUAAAUUAUUAAUCUAGAGUUUCUUUUUCUACUUUCUAUAUAAAUCUCUCCCAUUCAUGUUUUUUAUUAUUCAUAAAUUUCAUCACAUUCACGUUAAAAUAAUGUACGUAAUUUAUUUCUUUAUGUAAAUUAGCUUAGAAAAAAGAAUAGGUAUUCAAACUUAAUAAGUUAUUUUAAGUUGAAAUUUCAUGCAAAUUAUUGAGAGAAAGAGUUUAUCUUUCAUAAUGGAUGAUUUUAUCAUAAAUACCUUUUUCAUAAAUUGUAGUCCUUGAAAUAUGAUCGCUUGUUGCUCCUCCAAAACCUAGUUUAUUUAUUCUGCUAUAUAGAAUAUGAUUACAGAGUUUCCUUUUCUAGCUAAGAUUAGAGGCAUCUUUACGUUUUGAUAAGAAUUAUUCAUAAAGUCAUGAAGAAUAAUUUUACGGAUUAAACAAAAUCUAUAACAAUAAUUCUCUUAAACUAAACCACCCAGUUUUAUUAAGUGCACAACAUGAUGAUAGGAAAGAAACAUGCAGGUACAAGAAACGAAAGACAAACAUUCAGACUUGUUACAUUAGGAAAGGAAACAUGCUUCCAAUCCUAAUGUUACAUUAAAGAGAAAGAAAACAAACGUUAGAAAUGAAACCCUUAUUGAUUGUGAGGAGGCUAAGGUGGUUGAUGCAUGAGAGUGAAGGCUUGUUUAGCUGACAGGCAAAAUGCCUCUAAGAACGGGCCAACCAUCAAGGAUAGGCCUAACAUCACCGAUAAGAGUGUCAUCAGUUUUACCUGGAGUGAAAUGGAUACGCACAUACUUGUCUCCUUUGAAAAGGUAAGCUUCAGAGUCCACAUGAGAAGCAAAACACGCAUCGAUUCCAUUUUCAAAGAUGGUACCAUUCAGAACAGGAAACCCAUCAGUGAUGUUGCUAAUGUUGCCCACCUGCUUCGAAUCAUAGUCUAAGCGAACAUACUUAUUUCCCUUGAAUAAGUAAACUUCUUUUCCUCUGGUUGAUCUAAAUGCAGAGUCUAUGCCCUCCGCAAACACCGUGUUUCUGAGGGCAGGAAACAUUUCAGCAAUUGUGGUAGGACCUACGAGUAUCUUGUCAUUUGUUGUAGCUGGAGCAUAGUCAAUGUAGGCACAGAGGUUGCCGGAGAACACAUAUGCUUCACUCGCUUCAGUGUCAAAGGAACAGUCUACUCCAGGUUCUGCAAAUGGCGUUCCUGCGAGUGAUGGAAAACCACUACUAAUCAAACGCAGAUUAGUUAAAAUCUUGUCAUCAGUUCCUCCAGGGGUGUAAUACAACCUCACAUACUUGUUCUUGGCGAAGAAAUACACUUCAUAAUCUCUUGAUGAACGAAAUGCAGCAUUGAUGUAAGGAGGGUUUGACAUUUUUCUUAACAGAAGAAGAGGGGCUAAGGUAGAUAUAAAGAGUGCAAGAGAGAUAUAUGAUUUGAUUAAGAGAUGCUUACAUUCCUCUACAUGGCCCCUAUUUAUACUGUUGGAUUGAGAAUCUUUACUUAGUAUUGGAAACUGCCACGAAUACACACGCAAAGCAAAUGACAAAUAUCAUCUAUAUAUGAUGUCAAAACAAACCAGCCUUGUAAAUGUUAUCGGUGGUGCAUGUCCUUUCUGUUGGCUUCAUCUAACUUUAUUAUUGUAAUAUUAAAUGGAAAACGUGUUGAGAUUUUUUUUAUGCUUUUAGUGGCACUUGGGGAUAAUUAACGUUAAAGCGAGGGGUAACACAACCUUAAAGUUGUCAUGACAUAGUUGUUAAAGAACAGUUUUUCAACCUUAAAAGCCACUAAAUUGAAUUGAAAGACGUAAGAAGAUGUUAUCUAACUUUUGCACGUGCUUUUGUCACUGCAUAAACAAAUGUUAUGAGCUUGUUGGUUUCUGCACUGUUAUCUCAGCUUCACUUAGACACAAACUUUCUCAAUCACAAAUUCACGUAAAUUACUCUAAACAGAAUUUUGAAAUGCUAAAACUAAAAUUAAAACAACAUUAAUAUGAAUAUAAGAAUACAGAUAAUUAUCAGUCGAAAUAUGAAGCCGCUCAAAAUUCACACUAUUUAAAGUUAGGUAGAUGAACUCCAACAUAAAUCCUAAAACAAUUAUUAAAUUUAGAGUGAGGUAAACUGAUUAUAGUUGAACGUUAACAUUUAUUAAAAUAAGGUUUAAUUAUAUUUCUUUUAACAAAAAAAUUUAUUAUUAUUUUUAUUUGUUUUAAUUUGAUUUUUACUUUUAAAAAGUUGUACAAUUAUGUUUUUUUUUUUUGUUAAAUUUGAUAAAACGACAUGUAAACAUGAUAAGAUGAUAAAUAAUUCUAAAUUCUUAUUGAUGUAUAUUAAGUCUAAUGCUCAAUAGAGUGUAUCAAUUCCAUUUUAACAUUUAUUGUUAUAGCAGAAGGUUAUGUGAAAACUUGAGUAUGAAAUUUUAAGUAAGAAAAAUCUUCACCGCAAUGCAUUUCAUAAGUUAUAUGAGAUGUUUAGAGAUGUAAGAAAUACAGAAGAAUGUCGUCAUUGGAUAAAAGAGCAUCUCUGGAACUCAUUGUUAGCACAUUGAAAUUCUUUAGACUAUCGUAAUAAAUUGUGUUAUCGUCCAAAGAAAUCAAACUUCAAAAAAGGAUGGUGUUUUAUAUAUAUAUAUAUAUAUAUAUAUAUAUAUAUAUGGUUCCAUAUUACUAUUUAUGACAUGUCAUUUAUAUGGUACAAACCUUCAUUCUUUUUCUAUCUAUUAUAUAACUUAUGCAUUUUAAAAUUGAUGUGUACAUAUAAGUUCAUAUUUUGUUAUAGGUACAAAUGAGGUAUUUUAGCAAAGUCAUUAAAAAAGGAUCUCGCCAGUUUAUUGAUGAGAAGUCUCAACGGACACAUGUAAUUCCUGAUGGAUAUUAAUUGUCGGUAAUUAGUGGAAGAUGUAUCUCUCAGUAGCUAUCAACAUAUGUAUCCCUCAAUAAUUAUCAACGAUCAAUAUCUAAUGAUAAAUGUUACUGACAAUGUUUUUACUAACAAACUUUUGCUCUUUGGUAAUCAGUAAAGAAAUAGCCAUUAUUGAUGAAAUUUUUCUGUUUUUAACAUAUACAAGUCGUCAAUAAAUCUAGCUUUUUUGUAGUAUUUUCCACUGGGAGCAUAACUAUUCAGAGAUAUAGGAAGUGUCUCCCAACUAUUUGGUGAUGAGCUAAGCAACAACAACAUCAAUAGCUCAUCUUUUAAUAUAAUAUUUAUGAUCAACUGAUUCAUGAGAUUUUGAAAACUACUGAAGUGUUUAGCUACUGAAAAAUCACCCCUGUAUUACAAGUUUCCUAGCUUCUGAAUAAGAAAUGUCUUAUUCAAGAGAUUUUUAAAUUCAAAAAACUCGUCUAAUCUCUUCCACAAGCUGUAAGUUAAAGUCUCACCUGAUACAUGAUAUAUUGAUCCAUCAAUUGUUGGAUCAGACUAAUAGUAUUUUGGAUUAUCUUCUUCUAGUCUCUAUCAGAUUUAUCUAUUAGUUUGAGACCCUGAUCCUCAAUACGAUCAUCCAAGUCUUGAUAAAAUAACAGAUCUUCCAUUUGAGAUUUUCAUAUUACAUUUGAAGAAUCCAACUUGAUAAUGAUUCGACACCAUCACUAUCUCCCAUUUGCAAAUCACGAACCAAAGCUCCUAAUCGGAGCUCAGAUACGAGUUGUUGAGAAAAUGAUAAAAAAUACUAAUAAUAAGUGGAAGCAAUAACCCUAGAUUAAAUCUUCGACCAAUAUAUAAUAUAUAAAGCACAAAAACAAAGAAGGGGAAAUUAGGAGAUACUGAUAAGUGUGAAAAAUAGUUAUUUUUACAUUUAUAAAUGAUAUUAAUCUUGUAGUUAUUUAUGUAAUUACUCAGUGAAAAGUUGUAAUAGGGAGUAGAUUGUUACGUAAAUUAUUGUUCAGGAAAAGAUGUAUAAAUUGAAUUGUUCAGGAAAAGAUGUAUAAAUUGGAAUCUGUCAGCCAAUUCUCAGAUAGCGCAAGGAAAAAUUAGCAGAGCCCACAAAAGAAAUUCGCACAUCACACAAGUACUUAUGCGUUGAAUGAAUCAGCCAAUUAAAAGAAGACAACAUUUUUAAGAUUCGCAUAGCGCACCAAAUACUAUGCACUUAGCGAAUUAAAGUAGUUUAGUGCAUGAAUUAAAAUUAAUUCGCACAACGAAUACACUCUUGUGCGUUGGGCGAAUUAAAAUAAUUAACUCCUCCCACUGUGUAUUCCAAGCUUAUUUUGUAAAACUCAAUGUGCAUAAAUACAACUGGGAGCAAAGGCCAAAUAAGUGGAGAGUUCAGGAAAAGUUUCUGCACACAAGGGUCAACUAUGAAAAUAGCAUUGAUUAUUAAGCGAACCAAUUUUUUUUAAGACUUAUUGGCCAUACAAGUGAUGUUCACCAAUUGAUUAUCACAUUUAUAUGGAACCCCAUGGCCAAGGAACAAUUAUUUUUAAAACUCAAUGUGCACAAACAGAACUGGAAGCAAAGGCCAAAUAAGUGGGGAGUUUAGGCAAGUUUCUGUACACAAGGGUCAAUUGAAAAAAUGACAUUAAUUUUUAAGUGAACCAAAUUAUUUUUAAGACUUAUUGGCCAUAAAAGUGAUCUUUAGUCAAUGAUUAUCACAUGUAUAUGGAUCUUCAUGGCCAAGGAACAAUUCUUUUUAAAACUCAAUGUGCACAAACACAGCUGGGAGCAAAGGCCAAAUAAGUGAGGAGUUCAUGCAAAGUUUCUGCACACAGUAGUCAACUGUGAAAAUGGCAUUGAUUUUUAAGUGAACCAAAUUUUUUUAAGACUUAUUAGUCAUAAAAGUGUUGUUCUGCCAUUGAUUAUCACACGUAUAUGAAUCUCCAUGGCCAAGGAACAAUUCUUUUUCAAACUCAAUAUGCAGAAACAGGAUUGAGAGCAAGGGCCAAAUAAGUGGAUAGUUCAGGCAAAAUUUCUGCACACAGGGGUGAACUGUGAAAAUGACAUUGAUUUUUAAGUGAACCAAAUUUUUGUUAAGACUUAUUGGCCAUAGAAGUGAUGUUCAGUCAUGGAUUAUCACAUGUAUAUGGAUCUCCAUGGCCAAGGAACAAUUCUUUUUCAAACUCAAUGUGCAGAAACAGAACUGGGAGCAAAGGCCAAAUAAGUGGAGAGUUCAGGCAAAGUUUCUGCACACAAGGAUGAACUGUGAAAAUAACAUUGAUUUUUAAGUGAACCAAUUUUUUUUAAGACUUAUUGGAAAUAAAAAUGAUGUUCAGCCAUUGAUUAUCAUACUUAAGGCACGUAUUUUUCACAUGUUAGUCAACAUAGUCCAUGCCAUUAAUGCUUUAGUGAAAAAUGUUUAAUUUGAAUUUAUAUGAAUGAUUAUUAUACAAAUGUUAUAUUGUAUAAAAAUGGUUAUUAAAUUCCAAAAUUAACAAUUGAACUUAAUAUAUAAAUAUUAACAUAUAAAACACAUUUAUAUAAAAACGUACUAAUUGAGAUCAAGAAGUCAUAAAUAAACAUUUAUAUAAAUAUAAGUAUUUAAGGAUAUGAACAUAAAUUGGUGAUAUAUUUUGUGGUUCACACGUAUAACAUUAUAAUGACAUCCAUUAAUGUGAACUUCAACUAUAAUAUCCUUUCAAUGAUUCUUAACCUUGCAGACCAUAACGUCUCCUUCCUUCGAGCCAUAUUGUGUGCAAAAUUUCUUCCAUCCUUUUAUGAACUUGUCACCAAUGUUGAUAUCAAUGUAGUUCAACAACCUUGGAAACUUUGUUAUCCGUGUACUGUACAUUGAGUUGGAUGUCACAAAAUGAUGACAAAACCAAACCUUCAAAAGUAAAUAAAACAACAUUCACAUAAAAAGUGAUAAAAAACCUUAACAAAGUACUCAAAAACUAUAAUGCCCCACUUGUAGUUACCCACACACCCCAACUCAGAAACAAGGUCAAAAGGAAUUGAAAACACUAAUCCACUACGAUUGGGAAACAAGAACUCACUUAUCCCAACCAAUAUAUACAAACUACAAAAAUGUUCUAAUGAAAAAUUCUCAUAUUUCUUUAUCAAAAUUUGAUAACCAUGUUAACAUCUACUUUCCCAUAAGGAAAGUAGUCCCUAAACACACUUUGAUGACCAACUUUAUUUAAAUAUAUUGGUUCACCAACAACAUGCAACUCUAAAGACAAACAUACAUUACAUUCAUUAAAUUCAAUAAUUUUGUGUCCAAAAUAAAAUGAUUAUGGCUAAUUAUGCUUACCUUCCCUAAAGGAUAAGAAUUAACACUUUGCACCCUCCUUGUUAGGGAAAGUUCAACCAUACUACUUACAUUAUGCCCUUAAAAAUAAUAAGCUAAAGGAAAUUGGUGUAAUAUCCUAAAAAGGAUUGUGUCAAUAUUCAAGUACCAACCUCAUGGAAGGUACUUAUAGUUACCCCAAAUGAUUUUAAGCUCGUCAAAGUGAUCAAAACUAAAGCUAAAUGACCUAAUUAUUUUAGGAUUAGAUAUUGACUACAAAAUUACAAAUAACAUACUGUUAUUUUCUAUUUAAAAUUUGAAACAAAAAUGUUUACGCAAAAUAAUUUAAUAUCAUCUUGAUGAUAUCAUGCAUGAUUUUAGAAAGUAGAAAGCAUCCAUAUUUCAUAGUUUGAUGUUGAAGUUAACCAUACAUAUAGCAUAAAUUAGCCAGCACAAAAUGGAACUUAGUCAGAAUUCUAUGUUACAAUUAUGACAACUUAGCAAAAGUGUAGUAGUAAACAUUAUAGGUGGUACUUACGUCAUCCCUCCGUUAAGGUUUAUAUAUCUGGAGUAAGAGUUCCAAUCACCUUGCCCGUCAUAACCUGUAGAGAAUCCUACAGUCACCAUCAAUUUUCUAGAAGGACAAGUUAUUCGAUCAACAAUUUCAACGUCAUUCUUUGAGGUUAUAACAACUUACCUUAAUUACCUCCAUAAUAGUAAGCAGUCGAUGGAUGGUCAUUUGGAGUGAAGCUUGCAUUCAGGUUAAAUGGCUUGAACCCCUUAGCUAAGGCGUGCCCACUCUGUAUAGAAGCAGACUAUAAGAAUAUGUUAUCACACACAAAUCCAAAGUUUCUAAUGUAUCAAUUCUAUAGUAAAAAUACAUACCUUUGCAGGCUCCGGAACUACAGUGGUCUUGGGUUCAAAGUCCAAGGAUAAAUUCUACAAUAAAUCUGCAGCUUCUACAUUAAAAUGGUAAGAAAACUCAUGAUUAAAGAGAAAAGUUUCUCCAACAAACAAAAAUAAACUUACAUUAAAAAACAAAAAGGGAUAAAUUUUAUCGACUCAGCACCAGUAUUUAUAAAUUGUUUAUGGAAAAAUUAUCUAGAUGUCAAAUGAACCUAUUUAUUUAUUUGUUUAAAUUACAACAAUGUAUACAUGUUUUCAUAAAAUGAAAAAUGAAAAAAACUUCAAAAAACAUUUAACUUUAUUAAGGAAAAACCUAAAUGUCCAAAAAAUUAAAAAAAAAAACUCAUGAAACAAAAAUUAAUCAUUAGCGAAAUAAAUUUAAAACCUUCAAAAAUCGACUUCUAAUAACGUUUUCUGGCUUUGUAAGCACUUAACGGUGGAAUGAUUGCAGUGAAUAACGUGUCUCCCUACCAACUCCGAAUCCUUUAACGGCAAUGACAGUGACUGAUGGGUGAGUGCGACGGAAGAAAAAAACGAAAAUGCUUGUAGGAAAGAGCGAAAAGGAGUCUAGGUGCAAAGGUUGCCUUUCUCUUUUUCUUUUGAAAACCACCAAAUGAGACCCAAAACCAAAACCAUUCACUGUCUUCUAUUUCUACCACAUUUUCUCUUUUUUAAAAAAAAAAUUCCACUUACUCCAAUAACAGCGUGACACAUGUAUGUUGUAAAAAAUUUGUCAUUUUAAGGUGUCAAAGUAUCAUUACGUAAUCUGAAAAAAAAUUUCACUGAUAAUAAUUAAUAGGUACAACAAAACUCCUUGAAACAUUUAUAGAAAAUAUUCUAUUAGUGAAUAAACAAUACAAGAAAAUAUUCACUCAGAUUUAACUAAACAAAAAGGUGAUUACUUCACUUUCGAAUCUCACCAUAAACACUAUAGUGGCUUCUUUGGUUUUUCUCUCCAGAUAUACUAUUUGUGAGAAGUGCACACACAGAAAACCCACACAGCUUUCGCUGCACUCCUAAUUUUAUGGUGACCUACGUGUCAAUGAUCAAUAUUUUUCUUAAUAAGUCCUUGUUAAAUCCUAACUUUUUUAUACUUUUUAAUAAUAGAAGACGCUUAAAUGAAAAAGUGUUUAUCAUUUAUUCACUUUAAAGAAGUUACCUUCAUUUCACCGUUCCUAUUUACCUUUACCUUUUGUUUUAUGAGCGAAAAACAUUAUAAAUUAAAAUUGAAGCACCAAUGAUGUCGGCAGGAAGAGAAGAGAUUUUCAAUUUUUUUGUUUAAUAAUAUAUGUGAUGGAAAUUUAAUAUAAAUAUUUAAGUUCAUAUUUUCUCUUUGAAUCACCUAGGAAAAUAUGAGUAGACGCAUUUGAUUUUCUUAUUUGUUGGAAUUUAAAAAAUAACUCCGAAAAUAUAUAAAUUUUUCAAAGGAAAAAAGUUUGAAAUCCUUUGUUACACCAAACAACACACGUAUUAAUUAUUAAACCAUUAUACACAUACAAAAACGGAAAACAAAUUCUCAAACAAAUUUCGAGCUUCAGCAAAAUCUUGUUGGCCUAGAGGCUGUGAGAAUUCCGAGGAACAUCCUCUGGAUGGAUUGGCAUUUUUCUUCAGAAACUUAACAAAAGGAUGAAUUGUUGUAAUAAUAUCAUAUUAUUGCAAAAGACAUCUUUCUCCAAUGGUAAUAUUCCAACCGCCAAAUUCUUAAGUGCUGCAAUGGCCAAAUUAUUUAUUGUUUUUUAUUGUUUUUUAUUGAUUUUAUUCUUCCCUAUCUCUAUAAAUAGAGAACUCUGUCCCCAUUCCUAAACACACCAAAGUUCAUUCUUUGUCUUCUUCUCCUAAAAUUAUCCUAGGUAUAAACUCUUUACAGAGUUUCUUGCUAGUUCUGUGAUCCUCGAAUACAUUUCGAGAAGUUCCUAUUGUGUCCUGGGGGACUUGCGCAACAUACCGCGAAUAAGUCCUUAAGAACAGUGGUCUACACACCUCAGGAAAUGCGGUUCGAGAUUUUGGUCAGUAUUUUUUACUACAAUCUUAAGGACUUAUAUUUUAGUCUCAUUCAAAAAGCCAAAAAGGUACGAAAAUCUAACAUUUUUUUUAAUUACUUCGUAAUUGUUAUUUUUAGUUUUGAAUGCUUUGAAAGAUGAUUUCAUGUUUCUGUUUUAAUUGAGUGAUCCAGGAAUUUUAGAAAUAUAUGUUCGAUAAAAUAUUGUUCUAAGACCAUAAUUUUUGUUCCGUACUCAUGAAAUAAAUUUUCGUAACCAAGGUAUAAAUGUUGACUAGUGAUAUGAAUAAAGGUGUUUUUUUUUUUGGAUAGUUUCAACGUAAAACUGUAGUCCCUAUAUUAUCUUUGAUUAGAUCUUAAUUAAUUUUUUAAAUAAGUUUUAUAUUUCUUCCUUUUUCAAACUCAUACCUACCUAUAAUUAAGAGGGGAACAUUCAUAACAAGUAUUAUAUUUCUUCCUUUUUCACUAAUAAUAUAUAUAAAGGAGGGAUUGUGAUUAUGACUUUCUUUGAAAGCUAGCUAGUGAAAGUGAUUAUGACUUUUGGAGUGAUUGCAAAAGGAGACCCGGACUAUCUUACCAAGAGAUCUACCGUGUGUGUGUGGAAGCUUCCAAAGUUCCAAAAAGGAAUGAGUUUAUAAAAAAGUAAUAAUACCAUAAAACGUUUUUACAUUCAUUUGACAUAGAAUACAAAAAUAAAAUAGUCUAAAAAGUAUAAAAUUUUAUAAUUUUUCAAGAAAGAAAAGAAUAAAAAAUAAAUAAGGAUAAUAUCAAAUAAAAAAUUUAGGUUACUUAAAUAAUCAUUUCUCUUUAUAAAAGACACUUAUAUAAGUAGUCAAAACUCUUUCUUUAAAAGUUGCAAAUAAAAUUACAUCAAAAUCAUACAAGUUAAAUAUGUUUUUAUUACAUAUAUUUACCGUUCUGGAUAUAUAAGUUUAGGGGUUAAACUAGGCGUAACCUAAAAAGCUACUUUAUUAUUGAGUAAGAAACAAUUUAUAUACACGGACAAAAAGAUAAAUAUUCUCAUCUUUUACUUCUAACAAAAUUUUAAUGAUGCGGUUAAAUAUGUUUUUAUUACAUAUAUUUAUAUUAUUCUUGAUAAUUUAUUGUAUUGAAAUUUAAAUAAAAGUUGUUUAUUUAUUAUCAUAAUUAUUUUUAUUAAAUAAAAAAGAUAGUAUUGCAAAAUAAAACGAAUACAAGAAAAAUGAUUUAUUUUUACUCGGCGACAUAAUAGAAAUGGAUAAAAUUAAUAUUAUUACGUUUGUUUCACUUACUCAACCAUGCACAAUACAAACUUCUGCAUCUUACCAAGUUUCUGACAUUAAAAUCUAUGAUCCAAGUGCCAUGAAAUCUCCAACCACAAACCAUACCAUAAACAAAACCACCUUCAGAAUUUGGGAGAAAUUUAUCAUUGUGUAAUUGAAACUUACAUCCCAUCACCAAACUCCUCAUUGAUUAUCUCUUUGAUGCUCUCCCCAAAAUGCAUUACAGCUUCAUUCAACCUGUGAAAUAGAACAUCAACAUAACAGUUGGGCACCUUGAAACAAAGACCAGAAAAACGAGACAGAGAAGAACCAGAGAUAAACUCCCAAACUGAAUUAUUCACUAUUGGCUAUAGAAGACAAUGUUUACAAAGGAAAAAACUUCCUUUCACACAGAGUAUUAUUCCCUGUCACCAAAGUCAAAGAUUUCAAUACCAAAAAGAAGACCCCUAACACCUCACAAAGGUAAACUAUUUAUAGACUUUCUGAGAAAGUUUCUCCCCAAAACAACUAACUACAUAACCCCUUUUAUUUCUAAAUUCCCUUCUAUAAUACACAUUUCUCCCUCUCUCAAUAAUUCCCUUCCUAACAAUAACCCAACAAAUUAAGUAUAUAAAGAAGGCUGUUGAUAUAAUACACCAUACAUGUUCCCAGCAUUAGAAUAAACACAUUACAAAAGAACUACUAUGUACAUUCAUGUCAAUCACAAGACAUCCAUGACACACUAUUAACAACUAACAACUUGACAUGAUUGAGUGAAUAUUAAAACAACUUGACAUGAUUGACAUGCCAUGCUGAUCCACAAGUUCUAAUUGCACUACUUGGGUGUCCUUCAAGUCUUACCCAAUCAAUGUCCACCAUCCUAAUUCCAUCCAACAUUUAAAUAUUUGGUAGAACCCAAUUGAUGCAAUUUGAAUAUGAAGAACCAAAAUUGCAUAAUGGUGAUAACCUCCCACUUAACAUGCAAUUAAGCCUAAAGAUUAUACUCCCAACAACUCAUUUCACCAUACAUAACAGAUACUCCCAACUCCAAUUUCGAAUCCCUAAAUCCCAAUUUUCAGAGGUCUGAUCUCAUUUAUCUCUAAAUCCCAAUUUCUUAAGCCACAUCACCACUCCUUCUGUUAUGGAAUCAGUCCACGUAAAAAAAAAUAACACAUCACCACUCCUUCUGUUAUGGAAUUAGUCCACGUAAAAAAAAUAACACCUCACCACAUUCUCACUCCAACACGUGAACAAUACUUAAUGUCGUCUGCUAGCCCUUAACGAAUGGGGUACAAUGUGUGCAUUUUUACAAAAAUUGUGACUAAAUUGAGAUUGUUGAAAGCUUCAGGACUAAAAUGAAAUUCCUUAACAAAACAGAGGACCAAUUGAAGUAUUAAGCCAUUUUUAUGCUUCAUUGUAUAAUGUAAAACUAAGAAAAAACUAACCAUCAAAAUAAUAAUAUUUUGUAUAUUUUCCAAGAAAUUAAAUAAAUAAUUUUGUUAAUCUUCUCAUCGAAAUGAUAUAUAUAUAUAUAUAUAUAUAUAUAUAUAUAUAUAUAUAUAUAUAUAUAUAUAUAUAUAUAUAUAUAUAUAUAUAUAUAUAUAUAUNNNNNNNNNNNNNNNNNNNNNNNNNNNNNNNNNNNNNNNNNNNNNNNNNNNNNNNNNNNNNNNNNNNNNNNNNNNNNNNNNNNNNNNNNNNNNNNNNNNNNNNNNNNNNNNNNNNNNNNNNNNNNNNNNNNNNNNNNNNNNNNNNNNNNNNNNNNNNNNNNNNNNNNNNNNNNNNNNNNNNNNNNNNNNNNNNNNNNNNNNNNNNNNNNNNNNNNNNNNNNNNNNNNNNNNNNNNNNNNNNNNNNNNNNNNNNNNNNNNNNNNNNNNNNNNNNNNNNNNNNNNNNNNNNNNNNNNNNNNNNNNNNNNNNNNNNNNNNNNNNNNNNNNNNNNNNNNNNNNNNNNNNNNNNNNNNNNNNNNNNNNNNNNNNNNNNNNNNNNNNNNNNNNNNNNNNNNNNNNNNNNNNNNNNNNNNNNNNNNNNNNNNNNNNNNNNNNNNNNNNNNNNNNNNNNNNNNNNNNNNNNNNNNNNNNNNNNNNNNNNNNNNNNNNNNNNNNNNNNNCGAACAGACUAAACGUCUGAAUUAUUCAAGGCAGCACUUGCCUUCCGGACUAAACGUCCGAACAGACUACACGUCUGAACUAUUCAAGGCAGCACUUGCCUUCCGGACUAAACGUCCGAACGGACUAAANGUCUGAAUUANUCAAGGCAGCACUUGCCUUCCGGACUAAACGUCCGAACGGACUAAACGUCUGAAUUAUUCAAGGCAGCACUUGCCCUUCGGACUAAACGUCCGAACAGACUAAACAUCUGAAUUAUUCAAGGCAGCACUUGCCUUCCGGACUAAAUGUCCGAACGGACUAAAAGUCUAAAUUGUUUAAGGCAGCACUUGUCUCUUUCAUUAAAAACAACGUUUGCAAGGCGACGUGACUAGCAAUUUCGGAGCUUCUUUCAAUACAUCGUCAUUCAGACAUGAAGAAGUCAACAAUCCCCUACAGCCGAUACGUUCAAAACUAUUCAGAUCACCGAAUUCGGGCAUUUCUGCAUAAGCAAGUAAGUUCACUUGAAAUUAUACUAGUUAAGAUAAUUUAUCUAGAAAAAAUUGUUGUUGAUUUGUCAAGCAAAGUGAAAGCCCCUUGUUACGCCAAAACGGCGAAGGGUAACACAUUUAUUAGAUAAGGGUAAACCAAAACUUUAGUCAAAGGCCGAAAGCCUUCAAAGUACACAUGCAAUAUCACGCUGCGGGCCGACAGCCUUAUACCUAUACUAAUUCCCAAACAAUUGCAUAAUGAAGUCAUUAGAGGAAAUACAUAAACAUUCGCAAUUAUAACAGAGUUAAAACAGAAACAAGUUUUGAGAUCAUCCACAGAGUAUUGAAUAUUUAACAAGAAAUUUAAAUUUUUGGUGUAUCCACUUCCUCGAUGAUGGUUCUCCCAGGGAUCGGCACUUCACUAACAUCAAACGUCACGUUGCUGAUCUCUCCCGUUGGGGCAACAGUCUGAACAUCAGUCUGAGCUUUAACAGCGACUUCCUCUUCCUCUUCUUCUUCACCAUCCGAAUACGUUCUAGCAGGAACCUCUUUGGAUGGGACUAUCUUUCCAUCGAGAAUAUCCUUCUCCACGUCUAAAGGAAGAUCUUGUAGAGGUCGGUCAAGCUGAAAGGUGACCUGCCGGAUUGCCUUCUUAAAUCCGCGAGUGUGCUCCAGAACAAUAGCUUCUGCCAUUUCCCUUUCUCGAGCCUUUGCCGCUAUUAACGAAUUCUUCAAAAUGUUCCUUUCAAUGGUAACUUCAUUCAAGGCCUUUCAAGUAGCGGCAAGAUCAGCAGUUUGACGAUCCAGGUCCUUCUUCGUUGCCUGAAAGGACUGUUUUAUGUUCUCGAGUAUGACACGGCCUUCGUUGAUCGUUUUCUCGGUCGCCUCAUACUUGGGUCCGCAUUCGGAAUGAAGAAGGGUGAGAUCCAUCAAUUGUUUCUAUAGGCCUUCAACUUCAGCCUUGUCCUGAUCAUCCAUAUGGAUCAGCUCUAAAGUAGAGGCAGUAGCACGAACACAAAACUCCAAAAUGUGCUGGCGGAGUUGCUGGCGAGGAGUGUUUUUUAGCACUUUCAUCUCGGCCGAAUCCAGCUUGGGAUCUAUCUUAUACCCAGGUCAAAACCGGCAUCCCAUACGCCGUUCUGAAGGUCGCGGUCGGCAUCAGCGUGUCCGGUUUCAUCCACUGCAGUCCCCUUUGAGGGGUUCCUCGUUCUUUUCCCGGACGGCAACUCUCUAAGAGGGAUCACCCUCCUUUUUCUCUUCAAAGGAAUUUCUUCUUCGCCCUCCAGAUUAACGACCGGCGCGGUUUGUGGAGGGGGAGUAGGAGUCAGAACACUGGAGCCUUGACCCUGGAUCAGGUCCUUCGUGCAGUUGAACCAAUCAAUAGUGGUCUUCUUCUUGCCCAUGAUAGCUGAUACAGAAGAAACUUCAGUAAGCAAAAAUCAUUAAGUAAUUAAUAAUGGUUAAUACGGAAACAUACCAGAGACCCUUGAAUCUAGGUCGUCGUGCGCCAGGCAAUUCACUAGCUGUUUCGAAGAGAAAGGGUGAAGAGAUAGUUCUUCCAGCGCACUGAUAGCCUUUAAUUCAUAGGUUGACAAUGAAUCCUUAUCCCAAGAAGUUAUUGAGUAAGGGUUUUGAGUCCAAUAUAAGGGAAAUCUCUCGUUAUCGUCCUCAUUAAGGAAGAACGGGCGGCCUAGGUCGGUGAUAACUACUCUGAAAAAGUGUUUUUUAAAGUCUUUAUACGAGUCCGCAUACAAUUUGAACAGGGUAUUUUUGGGAUCAGAAACAAGUGAAACCCAACCCCUUUUUGGAACUGGGCGGGUUCUAAAGAAGUAUAAAAACAUGGGGGCGGUCGGUUUUAUAUCUAAGAAUUUACAAACUACGCAAAACGACUGAAUGUAACCCUAACUAUUGGGAUGAAGUUGCGUGGGGGCAACGUUUAGGUGUCUUAACACAUUCAUAUGGAAAUCAGAGAAUGGAAGUCUAACAUACAUAUCAACAAACAAACAAGUAUACAUGUAGAAGAAAUGCUUUUCAGAACCAUGUCUAUGGGUGCUACCUUUUGCCCCUUUUCUUCCACCACUGACGACGGCGAACCAAGAUUAAAGGAAGAACUCAUAAUUACCUGAAAAGAUUGACGCUACUAGGAGGAAGGGAAAUCGAUAUUCUGGUGGGAACGAGAGUGUUCUAAGAUUUGGAAGACAGAGGAAAUGAAAGUGGCGGUUACAAAAACCCUACAUUAAUUACCCUAUAACUGGCCGCAACUGUCAGAAAAACCCUUGACCAUUGGAUCAAAAUGAUCUGACAGCCAAGCGAACAAAACGCUCCAACUGCUUUCAAGGCGGGAAAAAAGUUAAUGAUGGUUUGGAACUCAAUCGACGAGUCUCCAAAACGCUGCGUUACGGUGAAAAUUUAAAAUGCUUCUGUGAAGAUUGAGUUACUGGCUAUUUAGGGUCCCUUAUAAUCGCCCGGGAUGUCAGGUUUACAAAGCAGUCGGUCAGUUGAGAUUACUCGUUGAGAGAACCCGGUCGGCUAAGAUUCCCUCACACAAUCAAAAGUCCUACAUUCAUUCGUUGGUCACAAUUCAACGCUUCAUUUGGACUUGGGGGGGAUGAUGUACGAUAUGCUAUUUGGGCCGAACGGUUGCAAUUAGUAACCGCACGGUCCAGCAUGCUUAUUGGGCCACAAUCAUAUUAAUGAUAGGCCAUUGUCGGUUCAGUCAUUGGGCUAAUAGUCCAUCACAACGAUAUAAUCCGUUGAGAAUAAUAUCUUAACAAACUAUAUCAGAAAAGAUUAAAUAAGAUAUGAACAGCCAGGUAUUCAGGUAUGACCGUUUAUAUUAUAUUCUGUUUAUAUUUGAUAAUGAUCUAUAUAUACAGGGCUGGAAUCGUGUACCAGGUACGCUCUCUCAUACACUAUUUGCCUUACAAUAUUAUUCAGUGAUUUCACUCUGCAUUCUCAUAUUGAGAGCCUUCAGCCUUGCCAUUCAAGGCUCAUCACCACUCACCCUGACUUGGGCGUCGGAGUGCCAUUGUAGGUACCUCCCCCCAGUCAUAGCUUGGAGCUUCCGGACGGUUGAAGAUCAGAAGACAGCAGAAGCGUCACAUCAUCCAGGUUAGUCCCUUCGAUCCCAAAAUAUUCAUACCGAAACACAUAAUAUUAUAUAUCAAACUAUUGAAAGAAAUAAUCAAUGUGCAUCUGCAAUACAGCAGUAUAUUUUCAAGUGGUUACAUGAGGAAUUAUUUUAUAAUUAAUCGUCGAUCAAAACGCUUACGUUUGUGUGUCCUCCAUCUGAACAUUUACUUGGAAUAUAUAUAUACAUCUACAUGUAUAUAUAAUAGGCAGAAACUUCGCUCACGCACUAAAACUUUCUCAAUCACAAAUUCACGUAUAUGCAUUAAUUCUCUUGGUAGAUUAGUGUAAACAGAAUUUUGAAAUGCUUAAACUAAAAUUAGAACAACAUUGAUAUAAGUAUAAGAAUACACAUAAUUAUCAGUCAAAAUAUAAAGUCGGUCAAAAUUGGCACUAUUAAAGUUAGGUAAAUCAACUGUAGCAUAGAUCCUAAAACAAUUAUUAAAUUUAGAGUGAGGUCUUCCGAUUAUAGUUGAACGUUAACAUUUAUUACAAUAAGGUUUAAUUAUGUUCUAACAAAAUAAAUUUAUUAUUAUUUUUAUUUGUUUUAAUUUCAUUUUUACUUUUAAAAAGUUGUACAACUAUGUUUUUUUGGUUAAUUUGAUAAAGCGACAUGUAAACAUGAUAAGAUGAUGAAUAAUUCUAAAUUUGAUUAAGUCUAGUGCUAAAUAGACUGCAUCUAUUUCAUUAAUUCCAUUUUAACAUGAUUUAUUGUUACAGUGUGAAAAUCUGAACAUGAGGUUUUAAGUAAGAAAUUUUUUUACCACAAAACAUUUCAUAGAUUAUCUGAAAUGUUUGAGAUGUAAGAAAUACAGUUGGAUAAGAGAGCAUUUCUAGAACUUGGUGCUAGCAUCUUGAAAUUUUCUAGAUUAUCAUAAUAAACGUGCUACUGUCCAAAGGAAUCAAGCUUUAGAAAAUGAUGAUGUUUUACAUACAGGUGGUUUGAUAUUACUACUCAUGCGAUUUGUAUUGUACAAACUUUCAUUCCUUUUCUAUCCAUUGUGAUAUAACUUAUGUAAUUUAAAAUUGAUGUGUAUAUAUAAGUCCAUAUUAUGUCACAGGCACAAGAGCUGGGAAUGGUUAUGCACGUUGAUGAGGUAUUUUAGUAAAUUCAUAUUCGAAAGGGAUCUAACUAGUUUGUUGAUGAGAAAUCCCGACAAACACAUGUAAACAAACACUUUUACAAACUUUAAAAUUGUACUAUUAUGUUUCUUUUAAACUUAAUUCUUUACUGACACUUUACAAAAUAUUUAAAAGAAUUUUCAACUAGACUCUCAUAGGUCAAAUCGAAGCAAGGGUCAUGUCCUGAUGCAAUAAAAGACCAUAAUAAUGAUGAGGACAUUAUUAGGACACAGUGUUGAAUCGACGUUGUCUAUGAAAUAAAUAAAGAAAAACUAUAUGGGGCAGAAUAGGUUGUUGCCAAUUACACUAGUGGAAGAGGAACACUAAAACAACAACCAUUAACUUCCGACAGUGCAUAAGACGUUGUUGUCCACAUCACCUAGCAACUAGAGCAACGUGACCAGGCUUAUGAUGAGUUGAAACAAUAGUUUAUGGAUUUCCAAAAUUUGAUCAUGUGAUUCUUGUCUCUAGAAGCACAAACUUGUCUUUCACGACCUCAAUCCACACCAACAUUGUCUCAACAACAAUCCUUUCUAGUCGAGUCCACCCUAGUCUAGCCACCUCCAGAAUAGUAACAACAUGAAAAAGAAGAAGAAAUAGUUAGAUGAUUAUGUAGUAUUUUAAGAUUUUGUUAGUUUUAUAACCAUUUAGUAUACAAUCUUCUAUGUUUGUCUUAGUUACAUUAUAAACAUGUUUGUGUGCAUAUUAAUGUCAUGAAUUUGAUUGUCUAGCAAAUUUCUUGGUUGUUUUUAUGUGUAAGGUUCAAUGUAUGGUAAUAGUCCACUAUACUUGACCUAACGCACAAUUUAUCGAUAGAAAUUAUCGAAACAUAAAUCUGUCAAUAAUAUUCUUUAUUGAUUCACAUAAUUAUUGACAGAUAAUAAUCGUCAGUAAUUAUUGACAGAUGUAUCUUUAUUUAAUUAUCAACAAACAAUAUCUAUCGAUAAAUGUUUUCAACAACACUUUUACGGAUAGAAUUUUACUCGUUAGAAAUUUGUAAAAAAAUAGUCAUUAUUAAUGAUUUUUUGUUGUUUUUAAUAUAUAUAUAUAUAUAUAUAUAUAUAUAUAUAUAUAUAUAAAUCAUCAAUAAAUCCAGUUUUUUUGUAGUGUUUUUCAUUGGAAGCAUAAUUACUCAGAGAUACUGUUAGUUUCCCAACUGAUAGUAAUGAGCUAAGCAAUAACACCGUGAAUAAUUCAUCUUUUAAUACAAUCUUCAUAAUCAAUUGAUUCAUAACAUUCUGAAAAUUCAUCCUUGUAUUUCAAGUUUAUUGGUUUCUGAAUAAAGAAUAUCUUAUUCAAAAAAAUUUUAGAUUCAAACAACUCCCCUAAUCUCUUCCACAAGCUGUAAAGUAGAAUUUCUCCUGUUUCAUGAUGGUAAAUAUAUUGAUCCAUUUAUUGUUGGAUCAAACUAAUAGUAUUUCGGUUUAUCUUCUUCUAAUCUCUAUCCGAUUUAUUUAAUAGUAUGACACCUGAUUCUCAAUAGGAUCAUACAAGUCUUGACAAAAUAACAUAUUUUUCAUUCAAGAUUUUCAUAUUAAAUAAUUAGCAAAAUCUAAUUUUAUCAUGAUUCCACACCAUCACUGUCUCCCAUCUGCAAAUCACGAACUAAAGUUCCUAAUCGGAGCUCGGAUACGAGUUGUUGAAAAAAUGACAAAAAAUACAAAUAAUAAGCGGAAGUAAUAACCCCAUAUUAAAUCUUCACUGAAAAGAUAAUAGAUAAUAUAGAUCACAAAAACAAUGAAGGAGAAAUUAGGAGACACCAUAACAUGAAAAAACUAAAUAUCCUUAUAACCUAGUCUAGACAAAUCAUCCACUGAUAAUAAUAAUUAGGUACAACAAAACUCUUCUUAGAACUUCCAAAGAUUUAUAGAAAAUAUUCUAUCACUCUAAGUGAAUAAACAAUACAAGAAAAUAUUCACUCGAGAUUUAACUAAAAAAAAGUGAUUACUUCACUUUCGAAUCUCACCAUAAACAUUCUAGUGGCUUCAUUGGUUUUUCUCUUCAGAGAUACUAUGUGUGAGAAGUGCACACACAGAAAACCCACAUAGCUUUUGCUGCACUCACAUCUUGUUCUCUCUUAAUUUUUCUUUCUGUGUUAUUUUCUUGUGGUGCAUUGUAUUGUGGAUGCAGAAGCUCAUUCCUUUUUAUAAGGGUUUCAAACCGCCUUGCAUGAGUUGACAAUGGCUGUCAUGCAAAUGUUGCAAUUACAAAAUGAAACCAUGUAAAAAAUUACACGUUGUACUCCACUUUCCCUAUUGAAUCCAUGUCCGAAAGUUUUACUGCAUUUGCCACUCAUUUUGCUUCAGCAAAGUUGCCCUAGAGGCUGUGAGAUUUCCGAGGAACAUCCUCUGGAUGGAUCAUUUGGUGGAGGGAUUGACAUUUUUCUUCACAAACUUAACAAAAGGAUCAAUAAGGGUCCAGUAUGUAAUUUAGGUGGUUGUGAUGAUUAGGCCUCAAGAAAAUUGUAAUAAAAUACUCAGUAACGAACAGGAUUGGCAGGUAUAUUUUGAUAGGACAAUGAUAUUUUGACAACACUUUUUGACAACUUUUUUGACAACGGGACACGUGUUAUCAUUUUAUUGGUCUAUUUGAAUUUGUUUAAAAAAUAUUUAAAACGGAUCAAUCACAAGCUGCCACGUAUGCGUUGUAAAAAAAUUGUUAAAAAAGUGUUGUUAAAAGAAGUUUUUCCAUUUUGAUAAUACAUCAAUACAUAAACUGAACAUUGAUAGUCAUGGUGACAAUAACCAACGUUUGCAUACAAGCCUAUGGUCGAUUUUCCUACAUGUUAUAGUAACAAAAACAGUAAACUUUAAUGCCUAAAAACAUAUUAAAACAGUAAUCAACCUUCUCCACUAAAAAGUGGAAGCUGAACUUGCAGGAAAAGUUCUUGCCAACAUGAUGAUGGCUAGAAAAAUACUUGUUUACUUUUUAAUCUAUCUUCCAUUCUUAACUGAAAAAAAAAAAAAAGAGUGAGAGUUAGAAGUUAAAACAUAUUUCAUCUAUGUUAAAGGAAAAAAUUAUUUUCAUUACCUUCUCCAUUUCAGCCAGAGAAUAUUUUCUGGCGCCUAAAUAUUCCAGUCCCAAGAAAACUGUGCAUGAUUGCUUAUGUUGGAACAAAAUAGAUGCAGCAUUGAUAUACUCAUCAUCCAAAUGCUGAACUUCAAAAAGAAGUUUUAAUCUUUGAAAACAUUUUUGCAUCAAAAUUGCAGAAUGGAAAGGUGAUUGGAGAGAUGAUUGGGACAGGCAUAUUUGGAAUGAAGCUCCAUUAGAAUUAGAAGAUGAAGCAUGUCUACGACCGGAUGAAGAUGGAAGGGAUGAAGAUGAUCGGGACCCUGAAUAAGGAUGCUUGAAAUAAUACCAAAGCGCAUUAAAGAUUUGGCGGAUUGACUCGAAGUUUUCAAGAAUUCCUUUAUAAAGAAGUCGGAAGCUUUCUGCUUGUUUCUACAAAUUUGUCAUAUAAGAAUAAGCAUUUAGUGACAGGAAGUAAAAAUGAAUCCAUAUUUGCACCAGCUAAACUAAACUAAACCCAUAAUUAAUCCACUUCAAAAAUUCAUUUCAUUAUUAGCUGCUUCAAUUUCACAACAUUUAAAAACCCUAAUUAAUCAAACACAUUUAACAAAAAGACAAUUAUAAUUAAAAUCGAUAGCAACAGUCCAACUAGAAGAAAGGAAAAUCACAGCAAAAACCCUAUUUAAUCAAAACAAGAAAAGACAUAAAUUGGCCAUGAAGGUUUUGAAAACAAGGCCUUUUCAACCACUUACCCGGUGACUGUCGUUCUCUGGUAUCUUUGGGUAGACUGCACCAGUGUCCAAAUCAAAUAUUAAUUCCGGAUUUCCGUUCAUCAUAUCUCUGCAACAAUUUCUAAAGUAGUAGUGUGUAACAUUCAACACGCGUUCAACCUGCCAAGCAUUGGAAAUAUUAUGUCCUUUUGAUCUCCGGUCUAUAAUUUUGUAAUAAAUGAAAUCCUUCCAAAUAAUUUAUUUUCUUACCAUUUCUUUAGUCAUCGAUACUCCUUCUUGAUCUUGUAACAAUUUGGAAAUACGAUAACAUUCCAAUGAACUAAAGAUGUGAUAUCGAUGGCUCCUUUGAAAAAUAGAAUCAGCAGCUAGAACCCUUAAAAGCGUUUGCUUAUCUUCAUGGUGAAGAUUUAAAUCUACUAACUUUUUAUUCUGUUCAUUGUAACCAAAUGUUAGAAAACAAACACAUAACUACAAAUCCAAGAUCUAUUUAAAAUUUAAACUACAAUUUCUCUAUAAGCUAUACUUACCACAGCUGCUUUAUUAGCCAUUUCUGCAAUAUUAGCCAUUUCUUGUUUCUUCUGCUGCAGACCACAAGUUUUCAUUUCUGCUAUAUUAGCCAUUUCUUGUUUCUUCUGCUGCAGACAACAAGUUUUUUGUUUCUUCUGCUGCUGCAGGCAACAAUUUAUCAAUAUGAUUCAUCAGUUUGACUAUUGAUUCAUUUGGCCCAUCAUUCUAAUCAAAUGUUAGAGAACAAAUACAUAACUACAAAUCCAAUAACACCCUUAUAGGUCUCUCUUGUUUGGAUAAAUGGAAAGAAAUAAAUACCACUAACACCAUUGUCUCAUGGCUACCCAUGCUAUUGUCACAAGACUCUAUAUCAUUGUCUCAUUGCUCAAUAGAUGAGAAAAAAUAUAAAGUACUCGAACAUGAUCAUAGAUAAAUUUACACACCUUUUCUCCUGAAACUUUUUGUCUUUCGGAAUAAUUUGUACAAGACCAAGAAUAAGAGCAACAACUUGAACAAGGGUAUUCGCUUGCUUCUCUCUUGUUUAUCAUUUUAAAGGUAGAAGAGUUGCUGGAAAUAGACUCCAUUGUAUCAAAUGAUCAGACAGACACCUAUCACAUAUUUUAAAAAAAACAUUGCAAGAUUAGUUUAAAUUAAUAUUUAAAAGAGAAAGAAACAUUUGGGCCUUUUCAAUGUUGAAAUUUAUUUAUAUCUUAAUGCACUGUCCAAACAAAAACAAAGAAUAUAAUCAAUAUGAAAAUUUGCAAAAAAUUAUUUGAAUUAUAAAAAGCAUAACCAAGCUAAGCAGCAAGCCUUACAACCAACGAAUCAAUAUAAGGGUGUUAACAUGGGAAAUGGGAAGAAGGAAGAAGAAGAGGAAGGUGACAUAGAGUGGUUAUAACUUUCUUUUCAAGCUACCUAGUGAGAGUGAUUAUAACUUUUGAAGUGAUUGCAAAAACACAUCGAGACUUGAUUCGUAGCAGAAAAUAUCUUAUCAUGCAGAGAUCUUAUAUAACCAAGAAAGAAACUUUCUCUGAAAGCUACCUACUGAGUGAUUAUAUGACUAAGAAAGAAAGUUGAAAGCUUCUUAGUAUCAAAAUAAACUAAUAAAAUAAUAACACGUAUUUUAUUAUUAAAAAUUUAUUAAAAAUAAAUAUCAAAAUAUCAACUUCCUUUAUAAAAAGACACUUAUAUAAUUAGUCAAAACUCAAAUUUUCUUUGAAAGUUGCAAAUGUAAUUUUAUUCUAAAAUUACAUCAAAAUCAUAAAAAAAUUUCAUUUAUGACAUUUAUAAAUAUUUACCGUUCUGGAUAUAUAAGAUUAGGGGUUAGACUAGGCGUAACCUAAAAAGCUACUUUAUUGUUGAGUAAGGAACAAAAAUUAUAUACACGGACAAAAAGAUAAAUAUUGUCAUCUUUUACUUUUAACAAAAUUUUAAUCAUACGGUUAAAUAUUUUUUUAUUACCUAUAUUUAUAUUAAUCUUAAGAAUUUAGUGUAUUGAAAUUUAAAGAAAAGUUGUUUAUUUAUGAUCAUGAUUAUUUUUAUUAAAUAAAAAAGAUAGUAUUGCAAAAUAAAACGAAUACAAGAAAAUUGAUUUAUUUUUACUCGGCGACAUAAUAGAAAUGGAUAAAAUUAAUAUUAUUACGUUUGUUUCACUUACUCAACCAUGCACGAUACAAACUUCUGCAUCUUACCAAGUUUCUGACAUUAAAAUCUAUGAUCGAAGCACCACGAAAUCUCCUACCACAAACCAACCAUAAACUUUUUAUUCUUCUCUUCCAUUGUCUCUCUGUUGGCAACACAGAAUAGCAGUGACCAAAUACAACAUUUGCAGUUAUACAUUUCGUGAAGAUUUCGCAGUUGGUCCUUCUUUCAUCAUACUCAUUGCUUUGGUCUUGAAACCAUGUGCUCAGAUUUCUGUUCACAUUGGAAAAAAAGUUUUGAAAUACCAAAAACAAGGAAUGCUUGAAAACAAUUUAUUUAAUUUCAUACACUAAUGAUGGGAGAUUGUUAGUGUAUGAGAAGGAAACGUCAGCAGCUUAACAGUUAGCCUAACUGUUUUAUCAGUUAGGAAUAAAGGGGAACGGGUUGGUAUAAAUAGAAAGAGAGAGUAGAAGGGAGGACAAUUUAGACUUUUGUAUUCUUUAACAAGAAUUCGUUAUUCCUGUAGGGGGAGGUUAGGCUCCCAGACUACAUUUUUUCGUUGUAUUCUUGCAAUAAAUAAUAUCAGAGGAGGUUAUACAGAGUCUUGGGUGUUGAUUCUGGUGUGUGUUUGUGAUAAUUCUUUAGGUUUCUCGAUUAGAAACAUAUCAUUUGGCCCGACCUGCCGGAUCAAAAUUUGGGGAACGACGUGAGGAUGGAGAAUGCGACGGAGGCACGAUUAGAAGCGAUUGAGAUAACGGUGGAGGGGAUGAAGGCUGAAUCGGCGGGGGUACGACGGGAUUUACAANAAAUUAUGAAAAUGCUGGAAAAACAGGGCAAUCAAAUGGAGAACAGUUCGGAUGGUAGCUCCGUGAAUGAUAAUAGACACAGAGGGAUUGGGGAGACCAGAGGCGGUGGAAACGGCGAAAGGAGUGAGGAACAAAAAUCGUGGAGGAAGAGAGUUGAGUUACCCACCUUCGACGGCGAGGAGCCCCUAAGUUGGCUCAACAGAGCUGAAAGGUUUUUCGAUAUACAAAAGGUGACGACCGACGAGGAAAGGGUGGAGGUCGCUUACGUGAGCAUGGAAGGGAGUGCAGCGUACUGGUUCACUUUUUGGAAGGAGAAGGCCAGAAACCGCUCGUGGGACGGGUUGAAAGCAGCCAUGAUCAAUCAAUUCGGUGGAGGAUUUAGAGUAACCGUGUUCGAACGACUGGCUACUCUACGCCAAGAAGGAACGGUAGAAGAAUUUGUUCGUAAUUUUGAAGUUUUGAUGGGGCAAACGAGAGGAAUACCUGAAGAAGAAGUCCUGGGUUAUUUCUUGGCUGGAUUACGAGAAGACGUGAAGGGUCAGGUGCGGAUUCAGAACCCGUCGGAUUUAAUGGAGGCAAUGAGGAUAGCGCGUGAUGUGGAGGACGCGAUGAUGAGAGCAUCAGGAGGCCAUGCUAGUGGGUUCAAGAUAAACCCAUUUGGUUUGAGAUCUUCAAGGAUGGUGACGCGAUCGGAACCUUCUCGGACUACGACGUACCAACCAGGAAGAUUCGAGAAUGGAGGAUCGGCAAGGAACAAUGGUGCGGUGAUGACGAAUGCUAAUGCGAGGAGGAACAAUGCUAUUGGGAACGAUAACAGAGGGCGAAUGGUGAGGAAUCUGCCUUACCCGAAAUUUCUCAAAUGAAAGGAAGAGGGUCGUUUUUUCCGAUGCGGGGGCCCGUUUGCACCAGGUCAUCGAUGCACCGAGAGGAGUUUGAGGGUACUGUUGCUAGCAGAGGAUGAAGAGGGAGAAGAGGGGGGAGGUGGUCGGCGAUAAGGAGGAAAAGCCCAUGGAAUUUUCUGCAUGUUCGGCGGAAGGGCUGACCACUCCACGAACCUUGAAAUUGAGGGGAAAAAUUGGAGAACGAAGCGUGGUGGUGCUGAUCGACAGUGGCACAAGCCACAAAUAUAUCAGCCGGAAGGUAACAGAGGAAUUGAGAUUACCAGUGACUGACACCCGUGCGUAUCCGGUGAGUUUGGGUGAUGGGCAUAGACGAGAGACUCGAGGACGAUGCGAGAAGGUGACGGUGAGGUUGAAGGAGGUUGAUAUAGAUGAGGAGUUUUAUGUGUUUGAGUUGGGUGGCGUUGAUGUAAUUAUUGGUGUUGUAUGGCUGGCGAAAUUAGGAGAUGUCAAGACUAAUUGGGGAAGCAUGACGAUGGAGUAUAAUAUGGAAGAUAAGAAGAUCAGGAUAAGGGGCGAACCAGCCUUGUCACGACAGCUGGUAAAAUUUGGAUCAUUGCGGAAGAUGGCGGAUGCGGAAUCAUGGCCGAUGGUGUGGGAUUUAAGCACAGUGGAAAUAGAGCAGGAUGGUGAGUGGGAGACAGAUUUGAAAACAUAGCAGAAAGUGGCAUUGGCAACUGUGUUGCAGGCGCAUUAUCAUUUGUUCCGAGACUUGCAAGGAUUACCUCCCUCACGUGAUAAACAACACAGAAUACAACUGAAGGAAGGUAACGACCCUAUAAAUGUAAGGCCAUAUCGGUAUCCUCACAUACUGAAAAGUGAGAUUGAAAAACAAGUAGAAGAUAUGUUGAAGGCCGGAAUCAUACGCCCCAGCUCUAGUCCAUUUUCCAGCCCGGUUAUCCUCUUAAAGAAGAAGGAUGGGAGUUGGCGCUUCUGUGUAGAUUACCGGGCAUUAAACAAGGCCACAGUAUCGGACAAAUUCCCUAUUCCGGUGAUAGAAGAGUUAUUGGACGAACUAAAAGGUGCCAGGUAUUUUUCUAAAAUCGAUUUAAAAUCUGGGUACCACCAGAUCAGGAUGGAAGAAGAAGACAUGGCCAAAACAGCAUUUCGCACGCACUUGGGUCAUUUUGUGUUCUUGGUCAUGCCGUUUGGCCUCACGAAUGCGCCGACAACUUUCCAAAGCACGAUGAAUAGUCUAUUGCAGCAAUAUCUUAGGAAGUGGGUGUUGGUGUUCUUUGAUGACAUUCUCGUUUAUAGCCCAAGUUGGGAAGACCACCUGAAGUAGUUAAGUUUGGUGAUGCAGCUAUUAGAACAGAAAGGGUGGGUGGCCAACCAGAAGAAAUGCGAUUUUGGGAAGAAAAGGAUUCGUUACUUGGGGCAUCAAAUCUCUAAACAAGUGGUGGAAAUGGACAGUGAAAAGAUUAAGGCAGUGGUGGAAUGGAGAGAACCUAGAAACUUUAAGGCUUUGAAAGGUUUUCUGGGAUUGACUGGAUAUUACAGACGUUUUGUAGAUGGGUAUGGGAAGAUAGCACAACCCCUGACAGAGUUAUUAAAAAAGGGGAAGUUUGCUUGGUCAGAUCAGGCGAGGGCAGCUAUGGAGAAUUUGAAGGCUGCUAUAACCUCUACUCCAGUCUUAACGUUGCCGGACUUUAAUCAGGAAUUCUAGAUUGAAUGUGAUGCUUCAGGAGGAGGGGUGGGAGUUGUGUUGACCCAAAACAAGAAACCCAUUGUUUUUUUCAAUAAGGCACUUUCGAGAGGUUCUUUGAGUAAAUCAGUUUAUGAGAAAGAGCUGAUGGCAUUGGUGUUAGCCAUCCAACAUUGGAGGCCUUACUUGGUGGGAAGGAGGUUUACGGUAUACACUGACCAGCGUAGUUUAAAGUACUUGAUGGAGCAAAGGAUAACCACACAGAGCCAGCAGAACUAGUUGGCGAAGCUUAUAGGGUAUGAUUUUGAAAUAUUAUACAAAAAGGGAAGUACCAACAAGGUGGCAGAUGCACUCUCACGAAGAGAUGAAGGAGAGAUAGAGGGAAGAGAGCUCCAGGUGAUAUCCAGACCCUUCUGGUCAGACUUUCAAGAGCUUGUAAGAGAAGUGGAGGAGGAUGAAGCAUUAAAAAGGGUGAUUGCUGACAUUCGUAGAGAUCCCAAUUCCCAUGCGGCAUACACUCUAGAAAAUGAUAGACUGCAUUAUAAAGGAAGAAUGGUGCUAUCAACUGAGUCGGUGUGGAUUCCUAAAUUACUAGUAGAGUUUCACAUGACCAAAACAGGAGGACACUCGGGGGUGUAUUGUACAUAUAGGAGGAUAGCCCAAUCCUUGUAUUGGGUAGGUAUGAAAAAGACGAUUACUGAGUUUGUUGCUAGUUGUGUCGUCUGCCAACAGCAUAAGUAUAUGGCAACAUCCCCUCAAGGGCUACUACAGCCAUUACCCAUACCUCAAGCGGUGUGGGAGGAGAUAAGUUUGGACUUUAUUGUGAAAUUACCGAGGUCGCAGGGGCAUGAUGUUAUUCCAGUUGCAGAGAUAUUUACCAGGGAGAUUAUCAAAUUGCACGGAAUUCCGGUCUCAAUUAUAAGUGAUAGAGAUCCAUUGUUUUUGAGCAUUUUUUGGAGAGAGUUGUUCAAAGCAUUGCCUAUCACCCUGAAACAGAUGGGCAAACAAAGGUGGUUAAAAGGAUAGUUAAAGGGUAUUUAUGUUGUUUUUGUUCAGAACAACCCAAGAAUUGGUAUGCAGUAUUGCCUUAGGCAGAAUACUGGUAUAACACCAGUUACCGGGGCUCAGCUAAGUGUACACCAUUUGAAACCGUGUAUGGCAGAGCCCCUCCAUCCUUUAGCAGAUUUAUACCUGGAGAAACACCGGUGGAGGCCAUGGCCCAGGACUUGAUGACACAUGAUGAGGCCCUUAGACAGCUGAAAUUUCACUUGAAUAGGGCCCAAGAUCUAAUGGUACAGCAGGCUAACAAGAAGAGGAGAGAGGCAGAUAUCAAGGUGAAUGAUUGGGUCUAUUUAAAGAUCAGACCUCACCGACAAUCUUCGAUGCCAAUGAGGCUGCAUCCAAAGCUUUCAGCCCGCUAUUUUGGUCCUUUCCAAGUGCUACAGCAGAUAGGCAAUGUGGCUUUGAGACUGAAGCUACCAGAGACCGCAAGAAUUCAUGCGGUAUUUCACGUGUCCCAGUUGAAAAAGGCGGUGGGGGAGCAAAUAGUAGAAAAAGGACUGCCAGAGGAGCUGCAGGCAGAGGGGCCCAGUUUUUAGCCAAUAAAAGUCUUGGACAGGAGGCAAGUUCAACAGGGAGAGGAGUUAUUGAACCAAGUUCUGGUGUAAUGGCAAGAAGGGGGUAAGGAGGGUGCUACUUAGGAAGACGAAGCUACCAUUCAGGAUCAAUAUCCUGAGUUCAACCUUGGGGACAAGGUUGUCGGAGGGAGAGGGAGUAAUGAUAGGAGAUUGUUAGUAUAUGAGAGGAGAAAGAAACGUCAGCAGCUUAACAGUUAGCCUAACUGUUUUAUCAGUUAGGAAUAAAGGGGAACGGGUUGGUAUAAAUAGAAAGAGUGAGUAGAAGGGAGGAAAAUUUAGACUUUUGUAUUCUUUAACAAGAAUUCGUUAUUCCUGCAGGGGGAGGUUAGGCUCCCAGACUACCUUUUUUCAUUGUAUUCUUGCAGUAAAUAAUAUCAGAGGAGGUUAUACAUAGUCUUGGGUGUUGAUUUUGGUAUGUGUUUGUGAUAAUUCUUUAGGUUUCUCGAUUAGAAACCUAUCAUAACAUCCAAAAAAUCUCUUAUCUUAUGUGUAUAUAAAUUCAUGUUCAUCUCUGAUUUUAUCUAUUGUGAGACUUUGUUUGUAUCCAAUUCAUAAGAGUGUUUUUCCUUAUUCAAUUUUUCCAUCUAUUGAUUAUUGUUUUGGGCAACAAAAUCUUACAGAAAAAAGGAAUAAGAAGCAACUGACCUGUUCUGAAUGAGGCAAAUAUUUCCCAUCAAAUGUCACUACCACACGAUCCUUCCCAUUCACUCCUUUAAUUUUGUCAACUGAGCAGUAGAAAUCUAUUGCUGGCAUGCUAAACAUGAGAUGAAAAAAAAAUGAUGAGAAAGAAAAUCUUCAUCUUCAUAUUUUUUAUUUAUGAUAUUAAUAUUUAUUCAUUCAUUUAUAUAGUUUGAUCAGUGUGCCUUGUUUUAUCACCUCUAACAUCAAACUCAAAAUCGUCUAAAAAAUAUACUAUUAAAAUCAAUUUUAUCAGAAGUGUAAUAUGUUAACUUGGAUGGGCAUAAAAUGAACCAAUUUAUCAGAAGCAGUAAGAAGAAAACACUGAAACUUUCCGAAAAUUAGGAUGUCUUUGUGUGUCUUGUCUGAAAUCCCCCUACAACUCCAUAAAUCAACAAAUCAUUUUAUAAUAUGAUACUUCCCUUGGCCCUAGGUUUCUGAACUUUGCUGUACAAGAGGAUUUAAUAUGAGUAUUAAAUCUUCAAUUAUUGGUGGUUAAAAUUGUUGGACCGUGAUUGCAAACAGGAAACCAUGAUCAUAGGACUAUCUAAUGUAUCAAUUGAAGAUGCCCUCUAAGCUUUUCUGCAGUUUGCCCAAGUUUCACAACAAAGAAGUCUUGAUUUAUCACCUAGCUUCAGCACAUGCUUAGUGCACAUUUAGGUUCAUAGCUUAAUACGAAAAGAUGUAUAUAACCAACUGCAAGAUCAGAAAAUAACACACCACCAGUAUAAAAGAUUUUUACACUUGCAUUCAAUAAAUUAUGUUUUGACACACUAUUAACAACUAACAACUUGACAUAAUUGAGUGAAUAUUAAAACAAGCUUUAAUUAAUCAUUUAGUUCGUCAAAUUGGGUAAACAUGAUCCUUCAAGUCUUACCCAAUCAAUGCCCAUCAUCCUAAUUCCAUCCAAUAUUUAAAUAUUUGGUAGAAUCCAAUUGGCGCAAUUGGAAUAUGAAGAACCAAAAUUGCAUAAUGGUGAUAACCUCUCACUUAACAUGCAAUUAAGCCUAAAAAAGUAAUCAAUGAAUUUGUUCAUGAUUAUACUCCCAAUAACUCAUUUCACCGUACACAACAGAUACACUUUUCCACUACAAAUUGAAGUAUAAAAAAGAAGAACUAUGAUGUAUUAUACAAUUUUUUUGGAAGAAACUUAUAUUCAUCACUUAUUACGCUACACUACAUGAUACACUUAUCGUUAGUUUGGAAGCCAACACAAAUCUUUUUACAUAAUUUUCUUUUUUAACUUUUUGAGUCUCUUUACAUUCAUCUUUUAUAUUCAGGUUGUCAUUUAUAAAUCCCAUCACAUUUAUCCUUUCUAUUCAAAUUCAUGUUAAAAAAUCUACGUAAUUUAUUUACUUAGCCUAGCUUAGAAAAUAGAACAGGUAUUCAAACUUAAUAAGUUAUUUUAAGUUGAAAUUUGGAAUGCAAAAUUGUGUCACCUAUUGAGAAAGAGAGUUUAUCUUUCAUAAUAGAUUAUUUUAUCACAAAUACCUUUCAUAAAUUAUAGUCCUUGAAAAAUAAUUGCUUGUUCCUCCAAAACUAGUUUAUUUAUUCUGACUUUCUAGACAUCUUAAAGUUCAUGCACGGUUAUAGAAUAUGAUUAUAGAAAGUUUCGUUUUGUAGAGGCAUCUUUACUAAAAUUACGAUUUGAUAAGAAUUAUUCAUAAAGUCAUGAAAAGUAUUUUAGAUUAAACUAAAUCUAUAACAAUCAUUCUAUUAAACCAAACCACCCAGUUUUAUUAUGUGGACAAAGUACAUGAUGAUAGGAAAGAAACAUUCAGGUACAGGAAAGGAAAGACAAACAUUCAGACUUGUUACAUUAGAAAAGGAAACAUGCUUCCAAUCCUAAUCUUACAUUAAAGAGAAAGAAAACAAACAUUGGAAAUGAAACCCUUAUUAUGACGAGGCUAAGGUGGUUGAUGCAUGAGAGUGAAGGCCUGUUUAGCUGACAGGCAAAAUGCCUCUAAGAACGGGCCAACCAUCAAGGAUAGGCGUGACAUCACCGACAAGAGUGUCAUCAGUUUUACCUGGGGUGAAAAUGAUUCGCACAUACUUGUCUCCUUUGAAAAGGUAAGCUUCAGACUCCUUAUGAGAAGCAAAACAAGCAUCGAUUCCAUUUUCAAAGAUGGUACCUUUCAGAAUAGGAAACCCAUCAGUGAUGUUGCGAAUGUUGCCAACAAGCUGCUUCGAAUCAUAGGCUAUGCUAACAUACUAAAUGCAGAGUCUAUGCCAUCCGCAAACACCGUGUUUCUGAGGAUAGGAAACAUUUGAGCAACAGUGGUAGGACCUGCGAGUAUCUUGUCAUUUGGUGUACCUGGAGCAUAGUCAAUGUAGGCACAGAGGUUGCCGGAAAACACAUAUGCUUCACUCGCUUCAGUGUCAAAGGAACAGUCUAUUCCAGGUUCUGCAAAUGGCGUUCCUGCAAGUGAUGGAAAACCACUACUAAUCAAACGCAGACUGGUCAAAAUCUUGUCAUCAGUUCCUCCGGGAAUAUAAUGCAACCUCACAUAAUUGUUCUUGGCGAAGAAAUACACUUCAUAUUCUCUUGAUGAACGAAAUGCAGCAUUGAUGUAAGGAAGGUUUGACAUUUUUCUUAACACAAGAAGAGGGACUAAG